rnacentral:lncRNA from 1 species
UCACUAGCUUUUAUGUUGACAUUACAUAAUACUGGUGUAACAAACUCCAUUGAAGUUAAGACAGAAUUAGAAUAAUUGUCACUAGGAUAUUUACAUUCAUAAUCUUGACUGCAAAGUAGAAUAACUUACUAAGCAGCUGCUUGCUGAGGUUGGGGACUGAUAUAUCCUAACCAGUGGCACCCAAUCCUCGAGAUUUCGGGAACCUGACAGCGGCCAAGGGGUUGACUAUGCCCUGAGAAUCCUUUCCCAAACCCAUACCUUCAACAAAUCCCAUCUUUGCCAUCACUCUGGAUCCAAACCCUUUGGUAUGCCUUUCAAAAGCUCCGAUACUUUGAGGCGUUCUUCUCACAAAUGCUCCUCUGCCACUUUGCUUCGACUUAGCGCUUUGAGAUUCUGACUCCCUAUUACUUUCCGGUUCUUCGCCAGACUCCGGGAAGCUCAUCCCUAAUCCAAGAGAUUUAGGACGCUAAAUCACUUCGAUGGGCUCCCCGAGACCCGGGCCUCCCUUCCCCAACCCUUGGCCUUCUAUGAAUCCCAUUUUCGCCAUCAUUUUAGACCCAAAGCCCCUAGUGUGUACCUCAAACGCACCAAAGCUCUCAGAAGUGACCAGACUCACGUGCUCCUCACCAUUUUCACUGGCCCCUGCUAGAUUCACGGGGCUGAUUUCUGUCGUUUCAGAUGGCAUUACGCCACUUGACACGAAAGACACGGGUUGACUGGCCAAUGAAACCUUUCCACUGGAACGGUUGACUAAGUUUUUUAAUGACUUGGUUCUGCUAGAUUUUUAGCUUCUUGAGGUCUUACCUGAUUUCGACCUCCGCUGGUCAUCUUCGCAUGUGGGACAUCAAUUACUGAGAAAUCAGCAUCAUCAUCAACAGGUCCGAUGAGCUGUCAUUAGCAACACAACAAUUGAUUGUAGGAUUUCCAGAUAUGCAAAUAGACAACUGACCACACUUUGUGAAAUGCAGAAAAAGGAAGAUUUAACAAUCCUGAAUGAAAACACAGCACUGAUAUGCAUAAAGUUUCCACUAAUCAGAUUUCAUACCUUUUCCAGUAUAAGUUUAUCAGUUGAAGAUGGCAUGCAUGUCUGUGGUGUUCGCACAACCGUUACAAAUCUGGAAAAAUAAGAUGACAAUUAGAAUGUCAAAAGCUUAAAGCCUAGAAAGGGCAAAGAUAGGGGAAACAUAAGGCCCAUUAACCUUUUCUUGCCCGAUCCUUGGGAGCUACUUCGCAACCGAUAAAUUCUUGCCAGUCGUUGAACCUUAUCACAAAAAGAAAAGUUAUCAUUAAAAAAUGUUCUGACUUACAGAAGCAGACACAAUCUACUACCGGGGCAAAAAUCACUUCCAUGGAACAUAAGCGUAGAAACCCUUAAGAAGUGAACAUGACGAUUGUGUCCAAACCACAAUCAAGUUUAUUGAAGACAAAGAAUCAAUGAAAUCUGAGAACUGGAAAAUUGGCAAAUCAGAACAUGCACCUCUGCAGCUGAAUAAAAUCAGAGAAAACUGGAUAGGUGAUUCACAUGAGCAAGGCCAAAAAGAAAAGCUAUACCUAAAGUUUGACAUGAUUGCUGAAUGAAUAUGCAAUUAUGCAAAUCAUCUGUAGCAACACUAAACCUUGGGAAGGCACAUAUCAGUACUUGCAUUAGUUUGACAGGAGUAAGAACACUUAGGUUGAUGUGUAACAUGAUACAAAAGAUACAGAGAUAAACCAAUGAGUGUAGAGCAAAGUCACAACUUUUCGAUGCAAAAUAAGAGAUCAAGGAUAAGCAGAUCUACCAGAAUUUCAAUUAGGAUUUUCAGAAAAAUAAAACUUUCAAUCUAACAAAUACUGAAUAUGGUCAUCAUGGCACAAAAUAAAAGAUACUUAUAGCAGCAGUCUUAUUAAUGAUUGAUAUACCCUAACACAGAUCUCUUUUGCAUGUGCUUGGAUGUUCUGCAUAAGUAAAACUAAGCAUGUUAUUAUCUGCUUUAUUACAUGUCAAUUUUGCAGGGAUAAGAUAAGCAUGUUAAGGUACUUUACCAUAAUACAUAGUAACAUCACAAUCAACCACACAAUCUCGAAUUUUUUCAGGUGUGAGAAAUUGGUACUUUAACAAUUGAUUAGGGCAAAGAAAGAUCAUUCUCAUUAUUAUAGGGUCUUUCUAUAAAAUAGGCAGUACAUCAUCAUGCAAAAGUGAGCAUUAGCAGGAAUGGUGAAGGAUUGGCGAGUAGUCGCACCCUUUAGUAACUAGAGAGAGAGAUAUAGAUGAUAAAACAUACCUGGGAACAAUCACGAGAAUGCAUAGGUUGAAAAGAAUGUAUGUCAAGCCCAUUGAGAACAAUCUGCUUGAGCUUCUAAAAAAAUGAAACCAAGAAGAGCUUUGAGAUUUGUUCCUAAUAAUCAAUUCUAAAUACCACAUAAAGGAUAAUAUGCCCAUCCCUAUUUAAACAACAUAGGAGCAGAAAGGCCAGAUUGACCGUGACAUUAAAAACUCAAGCAUUAUAGGAAGAACAGGGACACAGGUUGAAGAACGUCACGCCUAACAAAGUUGACUUCUAAUGAUGCCAUAGAACUUCAUGCCAGCAAGAUAAUUUAUACUACCGUGAUAAAGAUUUUUAAGGCUCAGUAUAACCCCAGAAAGACCCCAAAAAGCCAAAAAAAAAAAAAAAAACACCAAAAGGAUCCUCUCAGAAGAACAUGUACCCUCUCAUUCAUCCAUUACCAUCUCAUAUUUAUGAAACAAUGUCUACAACUUCCAUGCUUAAAAAUUUGAUAACAAAAUAACAAUUCAAUGCACGAAAAAUAAGAAAAUUAAGAAAAGACAUCAUAGGAUCCAUCAAGCAGAAGUAACAGAGUUAAAUUUGGCUCAAACAAACAUGGAAAAAUGAGAGGCACGUCCAAAAGAUAAUUAUGCAAUUGCUUGUUAAUUGUACAUCAAAUCACAAGGACAAUUUAUAAUUAAGGAGAAGAAGGAAGAAUGCCUUUGCAACUUCCAGAUACUUCCACCCUUACCUUAUUUACACUCUCAAGGUCAACGCCCCUACGAAUCAUUCUGUCCCGACGUUUAGCAGCAAUCAAUUCUUUGCAAUGUUUCUUCUUUUCACCUGUGCAUCAAUUACAUUUGAAUUUUACCAAAAGAGCAAAAAACUAAAGAAACAUUAUCCUAUGAAGGGCCUUCAGACAAUCUAAAUUGUUCUUCAUUCCCCAGGUAAGAGACAAUAAUUGCUCAUUUUUUUCCCAGGACACAGAAGGGGAGCUCCAUAAAUAGAUAAGUAAACAGUAAACUUCAGAAAGAGAGGUUCUUGUGUGCCUCGAACAUGUUUCUUUCUCAGGAGAUCAAAAACAUAGAGACCCCUCCAAUCAUGUCAUCCAAACACACCGAUCUCCUUAAUUCUCCAUUUUAGUAUUUAAUACUUGAGACUUAACUACUAGUUCAUGGAUCAAAAUAAAAAGCCAAGAUUCAUUAUUAAUUGAUUGAUAUUUCGAUUUACUAUCAUUAUACCACUAAACUAGUUUUCCAUUGAGCAUGACUUUCUCAUUCCCCCACGGGACAGGACGGGACAGGGUGGGGUGGGGAGGGAGAGAGAGUUAAGUUAGAUUAAUGCAUAUACAAAGUUUACCAGGAAAUCUUCUCGAUCUUGUACUCUUCUGAGACCCCAAUGACUGAGAUUGAGGCACUCUUGUACCAUGAUUCUUCUUCCUCACAUCUUUUACCAAGAUAAAAUCAUCCACAGCUGAUGACCAAUUAUCUCUCACAUUCCCAAGACCUUGAUGUUUUGAUUGACGCUUCCUCUGCAUACCAUACUCCGUGGAAGCAUCCUGGAGAGCAAUUCCACCCAAUUUUUUCAUCGUUUCAUCCAAAUCACUACUAGAAGAAUCGUCUGAAUCAUCUGACGAAGAAGAAACCUGCUGCAACAAAUUUUUUGCAUCUAAAAGAGAAUCGCUCCCACCAAUUCCUUCCAAAUAAUCUCGAGCAAUUUCAUCAUCAACAUCUGAACCACUAUCAGACAUGUCCUCGGAGUCAUCACUUUCAGAAGAAUCUGUUGCUCCAUCCUGCUCAGCCGACUCCGACUCUGAGUCUUCCUCAUCACCAUAUUCUGCAACAUCAUCCUCACCAUCUUCCUCAUCGGAUAUAUCUUCUGUAUAUAUUUUCAAUCCCCCAAUUGAUACAAACCCAGAAUUUUUCUUCGUCGAUGUAUCCUUUGACAAAAGCUGAGCCCCCUUUUCAGCUGCUCCAGAGUCAAAGCUCUCACGAUAAUCCACUUCCUGCUCAGGCGAUGACAUGCCACUCUGUGACUCUUCUUGAUUUUCCAUUUUCCCUGAUGAUGCUUCGAUUCCCAUUGGAGCUGCAUCGUAUUCAUUACAAUAACCCAAUCCUCUGUGUGAGCUAUCACCGAGAACAAAAUCUGAAUGAUAAUCAUAACUGAUAUUUGCUUGAUCCACUGAUGAUGGCCCUUCAUCUACAUAAGCAACAAUUUGGCUGUCCUUUGAACCACACAGAAUGAAAGGCUGAGAAAAAUCCAUUUUAUUCUCUCCAUUUGUAUCUCUGAACGUUGAUACUGGAUGCAAACCAUCCUGUAAAAGAAUUUAACUAACCCAGAUCAACACAAGUGAGAGACUGAGAUCAGCUGAUCCACAAGAAGUCUUCCCAAAUCAAGAAAGCUACAAAGACGAAAACCAUAAUCUAAGCCUCACGAUAUUAACUAAGAACAACUCCUAAAAUUACUUUCUAUUAGGUUCAAGGCUUCAGCUUGAUUGAGUCUCCGUUUAAAAAACUGAACGGGUAUGAAAUCCAAGAGACAGUAAUAACUAAUUUCAAUGACUCAUGAACUUCUCACACCCAGGAGGGCGACUAUCAGCAUAAGAUUCCAAACAAAAGCCAACAACCUUCAAAUUAUUGCAACCUGAAUAUGGAUCCUAAAAACCAAAUAGACUUUACCUGAAGGUCGCGAGAUGGAUACCGGUAUCCGACGGCAUUCGAUCUCGAAUUUCGCGGCAAGCUUUUAGAACCGGAAGCCCUACCUCGCCCGGAGCUUCCGGCUUUCGACGCAUCCGAAUUUUGAUUCGAUCCUACAAUGGAAACCAAGCAGACCAAAACACCCUCUUAUGCUCACAAAAACACCGUUCUCACACACAAACAACUGAGACAACUGGGAUUUACAGUUUCCCGUUCAAGCCCCCAUUUUUAUCGAGAAAAGCGCAAGCGAAACCGAGAGAAAUGGACCUCGCCGGGGGGCCGGAGACGGGGUCUUGGGCUGCCAGUCCGACAAGAGGCCGCCUUCGACGAAGAGGCCGGCUCUGAUCGACGCCGAGGUGCCGAAUCCUCCUCCCCUCCCUCUUCUUCCGCCGCCCCCGCCGCCGCCGGACUUGCUGCUGCUCCGGUUGAAGCUGCCUCCGCCGUCAGUGCCGCCGCCGCCGCCGCCGCCGCCGCCGCCGCUGUUUCUCCUCGAAUUCGAUCUCCGCUUGCCUCCAGCCAUGUCCGAGCUCGCGAAUCAACUUGGAUUAAAUUUUCUGACCUAAUUUGAUCGAUCGAUCGAGAUCGAUUUAGGGGCGACGACGAGAGAAAGGGAUCACCUCCUCCCGCGUGUGGUUUCCUGCCUUGGGGGAAGCGCUCGCAUCUGGACCGUUGGCGAUUCGCCGUGGGACGCAAGGGGACUCGUGGACGGCUGUGAUGCUGUGGCGGGAGCUUGGGGAUAUCAUAUUCCGCUACGCAAACAGCUGCGGCGGGGGUUCUGUCCCUUUGGGAAUAUGCGAGAAUCAAUGCCAUCGGCCAUCAACUGUAGCACCAAUAUGGAUACUCCACACGUAACAUGACACGUAUGAUAUACCGAUACGUUUUUUUUUAAAAAUUAAAAAAUUUUAUCACGUUAUAUAUUAAAUAUAUAUUUUAUAAUAAAAGCAUAUAAAUAAUUUAUACUAAAAAUAUUAAUUUAACAUUUGUUAAUAUCAUUAAUUAUUUUAAUUUGAUAGAGAUUGAAUAAAAAAUUCAAAAACUGUAAACACAAAAAAGUAAAUUUGAAGGAAUAUGUUAUGUUUUCUUAUACUUGUUGAAAAUUAGUGAGAUUUUUUAUAGUCCCAGACAAAAUUCGGAGUUCAGGAUAUAGACUAGUUUGGAGCUCCUCUACAAAACAAAGUUCGAGAAAAAUAAAAAUUUAGGACAAGAACUCUCGAAGUAUGACCUAAGGAAAAGGAAAUAACUAAAUUCGCCAUGGAAAAUGUGAGAGAUAACUCACAAGUUAAUGACAUAAACAAAAAAAAGAUAACUCAUAGGCGACGCUUGCAAGAGGCGGAAUGAAGCAAAAAAAAAAAAAAUCACAACUUUAAGUCUGUAGGGGUGGCAGAGUGACGUCGACGAAAAGAGGGGCGUUCCAUCGUCACUCACGAGAAUGUCAAAACUUAUAAGUGAGAAACUUGAGAGUGAAAAUUUUCUUUUUUCCCAUUUAUUUUUGUUAUUUUCAUUAUUUUUUCAUUUUGACCCCUUAAGUAUUGAAAUUUUUAAAAUUGACCCCGUGCAAGUCGAAAUUGCGUGUCGGAAUUUCAGACUCGCGUGUUGGAGCGUGUCAGAAAGAGUUGACCACGUGUUGGAUUUCCUAAUACUCGUUGACCACAUGUCGGAACGUGUCGGAGUGUGUCGGACACGUGUCAAAGGCUUCCGGAGAGUGUCGGUGCUUCUUAGCCCAUCAGCAUGGUCUUUUGGGAUUGUCGUGGACAACUAUUCUAGCUGGGCAGAAUUCGACCUCGAUUGGUUUUGGAAUUUGAUAAGGAUCAUCUGAAACUUUUUGGCUUAGGCUACCAAAAUCACUUACGGUUUGUGAUGUAUUUACAUGUUAAUGGGGUUAACUAAGUCGAUUUGCCCUCUUGAGUUACUAAACCCUAAAUUUUCUUUAACAAAGUCUCCGAAUACUUAGACAUUAAUUAAAAAAGAUUAGAUGAGAAAAUGACCACUGAGUUUUUACAUACCAAGUACAAUUUAUUCGUCGAUACAUGAAAGAUCUUUAAGUAGAAAUAGUUUCUUUGUUACUGGAAUGAAGUUGGAUUGCACACAAACUAGCUUUCCUAGAUGCUCAUUUCUUCUUAUUGGAGAUACAACAUUGAUAUAAUUGGACAACAACUUCACUGGUUGCUUUAUAUAAGUUUGUUGUGUUUGGGAGGCUGAAGAUGUCCUUGGGGACAAUCCUCGCUUUACAUUUUGAAGAUAAGCGCAUCAUGAUGCAAAAUCAUAGGAAAAAUUCGAGUUCCCACGGUAGCAAAUUAUUCUUUUAAUUUGGUUUGCUCUCCAAUUUGCAAGCCUUGCAUACUGGAUGUGCAGCGGAAGAUUCAGUGUGGAAGAGAGAUUGUUUUGAGAAGGUGAACGAGGGAUUUUAUUUUUGGUUGGCAAUUUGGUUGCAAUAUAGCUACCUACUUUGGCAGUUUGGUUUACUCUCUAGGUCGCCAGAUCGCAUGACUUUCGAGGUCAAAGGCCAGGGGCAUUCGUGCUGCCUUUGAGCUUGUGGCCAUGGCCUUGAGUGCGACAUUCAAGCUCUAACAGUUAACAUCGGUGUGGUGAAAGAUAAAGGGAUGGGUGAGAAAAAUGUGGUGGGGUGGGGGGUUGCUUCUCUCUUUUUAUCUGGGUCUAACAACUGGGGUCUUUAACAACUGGGGUCUUUCUCUCAAAAUACAUAUUGUGCAUUCUCAAAAGUGGGGAUGGUAUUUUUAAGGUUCUCUAUAUUUUUUUGUGAAAAAAAAAGGCAUGAUACUUACUUAUACGUUAUCUAAUAUAAUAAUUCUCUUUUGCAUGUUAAACUUGCAUCUACAUUUUCCAAGUAACCUAUAAGGUCGAUGUUAUAUGAUGUGUAGCUUUGUCACAAUCCCUCCUUUGAAACUAAGCUCCUAGCAUAAUGUUAGAAUGUCAUUCCGCGCAGAUAAGACUAGCAAAAGUAGUCAUGAAAAUGCAAGUUUGACCAUGAAUUUAACUAUCCGAUAAGACACUCCAGCAUAAGUGAACCUUCAUUAAAGUUAGAAAUCAAUGUCCUAACCAAAUUGUGGAUGAGCCAUUAACCUAUGACUCUGAUGAACAUGUAGUCCUUCAUGUUAUAUUGUCAAGCAAGAGGAGUUUUAUGUCUCAAACGAUUUCCAAAUGGACCGAGUGAUAUACAGAGAUGAAAUUUUUCAUUUGGAACUGAAAGCAAAUGUGCUACGGCUAAAAUAAGAAAGGUGAGAAGAGAUAGGUGUGUUUUUCUAGUGUCAUUUAUUAUCACUAGUAGCAUGAUCACCUAACCAAAUAGAGAUGAGCUAGCAACUACAUAAAAACCACCUUUUCGAAAGAGCGAAGGAUCACCCCAUAUAUUGUCUUCAAGGAAAUUAGAACAAGACCUUAUUCAGUUGUGAUGGUGAAAACUUACAUUAACGCAAUGCUGAUCAAUGACAAUAACAAAUGAUAGGAAAAAAAAAACCCAAUCCUACCAUUACCCGAAAAUGCAGAACAAGAGAACCUAAAUUGUUAGACCAGUAGACAAUUUUCAAAAACCAUCCUACACAAAAUAGGAGCAUGUGAUGAACAAGCUUCGACAUGUGGUGAUAACCAGUUCCACAUAAUGAAACCAUCCCUGUCGCCAUUGGGGGUUGAUGAACAGAACAAUUGGAAUUACCAGUAAAACCAUUGUGUAUGACAUUCCGAAGCUGAUAUAGAAUGUCUCUCCAUCUAUGAAACCAUCUUCUUUAGCUUUCCUGCGUGAUUUUGUUGCUGAGCAAUUAACGUUAAUUGUUGUCAAACAGUCAUUACUCAACGGCAAUCCACAAAAAAGAUGGUUUUCGUAGUAGCUGCUUUCAUCGAAUGACCCAAACUGAUUUUUGUUUGGUAUGGCUCCUGACAAGUCGUUGUAAGACACAUUGAAGACUCCCAAAAAUUUCAACCGAUUAAGCUCUUCAGGGAUAGAACCAAUCAAGUUGUUGUAGGAAAGGUCAAUGCUCUCUAUCUUUGUGAGGUUUGACAAUGACAUCGGUAUAUGUCCUGUAAGCUUAUUGUGCGACAGAUUCAGCACAAGCAUGUCCUGUAAGAUUGCAAUCUCUGGUGGGAUCUCCCCGCUAAAUUGGUUGCAAGAAAAAUCUAGUCCUACCAUGUUAAAGAGUGUGUAGCCUUUAUAAGCAUCAAAUCUUCUUUUUGAUGUGAACCCAACAAUAUGUGGAAUUUGCCAUGCUUCGUCUCCUAGAAAUUUAUCUUGGUAGAACCUGGUCUGGCUUCUAAUUGUCCUCACAUAAGAAAGAGGUGACAAUGCUUGACCUCCAUAUCUGGACAACGAUGUUGAAGUUACCUUAUCAGCAUAUCCUCUGGAGGAGAAGUUUAUGGGUCCCAAGCAAAUAGGUAAUGGACCAAAUAGAUUGUUUUCAGAAAGAUCGAUCAUACUUAAGCCUUUCAAUUUGCACAAUUGCUUGGGAAAUGUUCCAUAGAAGCUAUUACCUCUCAGUAAAAGAAUGCUUAAUUUAGAGAGGUUACCUAGCCAAUGGGGUAUGCUUCCGAAGAACUCAUUUUCACUCAAAUCCAAGGUCACCAAAUUGGAGCUGUUAGGGAGCAGAUGCACGAUCGAACAUUCAAUUUGUUCCCAUUCAGAUGGAUAUGUCUCAAUUGGGGUGCUAUGAAAGAUGAUGCUAAUGAACCAGAGAGAUUGUUGUCAGACAAAGCCAAAUACUCGAGCUUAGGAAGAUUAAAGAGUCCUUGAGGGAUGAGGCAAUUUAAUUGAUUUUUGGACAAGUCAAGGAGCCUAAGCGAUGACAUGUUUGCAAUCAAUCUGGGAAGCUUACCAAUGAAAAAGUUGUUGCUAAUGUCCAAUAGGAGCAGAUUUACGAGUGAUGAAAGAAAACAGAGAUCUCUCGUGAACAUGUUGUGCUCUAACUGUAGGCAUCUCAAAUUUAGGGUCAUGGUGUCAUCGGAAAAGAUGAUUUCUCCUUGCAAGUUGUUAUAUGCUAUGUUGAUGGUAUACAAUGAUGAGUUGCUAUCUAGUAACUGGAUAGGUAGUCCCCCGGAGAAAUUGUUGUGAGAAAGGUCUAAGACUGAUAGGUAUUUUAUACUACCCAGUUUAGAUGGAAUAUUCCCUUCUAAUCUGUUGGCUGAUAGAUUAAGCUCGUACAGAUUUGGGACAUUUAAACAAAAUACGUUCGUGAGCUCUCCUCUCAUGCCAUUGUUGGACAUGUCCAUCCACGAAAGAUUACGAAGGGUCAUCGGUGGAACCUCAAGUGUCGCAAAUAAGUUAUUUGCCAUAAGAAGAUUUUCCAACUUAGUGUUGUUUUCCAACAACCAAGCUGGAAAGGGACCCAUAAUGUCAUUUGAGGAGAGAUAAAUGGUUCUCAGGUCAUAUUGAUGAUCAAGAAAGCCAAGAGAAGACACCUUGAAUCCUUUCAAUAGACUAUUUGACAUACUAAAAUCCUUCAAUUGGAACCUCGGGAUCGAAGACACAACUUUGGAAUAAGUUGUUAGUUUAUUGUCAUCAAGCAAGAGGACCUUAAGUCUUGAAUAGUUUGCGAGUGGGCCAAGUGAUGAGGGGAUAUCAAAAUAAUUACCCGAAAUGGAAAGCAAAUCGAGUGAGGUAAGACUAGUGAGGGGAGAUGAGGCGACAUUAUCUGUGAAUUCAUUGUCUUCAAGAAAUAGAACCCGAAUAGAUGUCAUGUUUCGCCAGCACGUAGGAAGCCCGCCAGUAAUUCUAUUAUUGCUAAGAUCCAACUCUUCUAGUUUUACAAGGUUACACAAACCUGUUAUUGAUAUCACAAGUCAUUUCAAUUACAAUGGUAGAUAUCGGAACAUAUAACAAGGACAUACACAUACAUGAAAGAUUCAUUUUAUGUCCAAGAACUCUGAGAGAAAUGGACUUACUCUGAUCUGAUAGUUUGCCAUUAAGAUUGGUGCUGUAUGAGGACAACAAUCUAAGAGAUGUCAAAGGACCAAGGCUGGAAAGGAUUCCCAUGGUGGUGUUCAAUGAAGAAUAAUCCAAGAUGAGCUGUUCCAACUUACUGAAGUUAUGGAAAUCUUCUCAGAAAACGAAAGAUUAUUGAACAUCAGAUUUCCUUACAUAGACAUAAUCAAGAAAUGGUAGAGAAACAUCAUGAGUGAAUGGAACAUUUUUAAUAAAAACCUAGGCUCUGUUUAUUUCGCGAAAAAUAUGACGUUUUGUGAAACUGUUUUCUAAGAAGUCAUUUUUUAGGAAAAUGUUAAUAUUUUCCAAUAUUUGGUUGAAAUCUAAAAAUAAACCGGAAAAUAUUUUCCACUAUUUGGUAUGGGAAAUCUGAUUUGAUUUUCAUCUGUGUACUCCUUUCAAUAAUAGUUUAUUUUUAUUUAAAAAAAUAUAAUUUUUAAUUAUUUUCUUUUUCUUUUUUGUUUUUUUCCUUCUUGUCCAGUUUAUCACCAGCCACAAGUGACGUCAAGAUUGCCUGAGGUAGACGAACUUGAGCCUUGUUAGAUUGGCAAAGCCUCGGCCUUUGGCGAGCUUGUCCUUCGCCUGUGGUUAGUCCUCAUAAUCAGCUAUUGAAUGAGGAAGAAGGAAUAAGAAUAAGAAUGAAAAAAGAAAGAAAGAAAUUAAAUAUUUUUUUAAAUGAAAAAAGAAAAAAUAUCAUUUUUAAUUGUGCAUGGAGGAACAUAGGUUUAGAUGAAAGAAAGAGAAUGGAAAAUGAUUUCCUCAUUUUCCCCACUUUUGAAAACUUAGGCUCUGUUUAUUUUGCAAAAAAUAUGACGUUUUGUGAAAAUGUUUUCCAAAAAGUCAUUUUUUAGGAAAAUAAUAAUAUUUUUCGAUGUUCAGCUGAAAUCUAAAAAUAAAACAUAAAAUAUUUUCCACUAUUUGGUGUGGAAAAUCUGAUUUAAUUUUCAUCUGUGUACUCCUUUCAAUAAUAUUUUAUUUUUAUUUUAAAAAAUAUAAUUUUUAAUUAUUUUUUCUUUUGCUUCUUUUCUUUUUUCCUUCUUAUCCGGUUGAUCAUCAGCCACAAGUGACGUCAAGAUUGCCUGAGGCAGACAAGCUCGAGCCUUGUUACAUUGGUGAAGUCUCGGCCUUUGGCGAGCUUGUCCUUCGCCUGGGGUCAGUCGUCAUAGUUAGUGAUUGAAUGAGGAAGAAGGAAAAAGAAUAAGAAGAAAAAAAGAAAGAAAGAAAUUAAAUAUUUGAUUUUUUUUAAUGAAAAAAAAUAUAAUUUUUAAUUGUGCAUGGAGGAACAUAGGUUUAGGUGAAAGAAAGAGAAUGGAAAAUGAUUUCCUCAUUUUCCCCACUUUUGAAAAUGCCUUUUCCAUUGUAGGAAAAUAUUUUCCUUCACUUAUUUAUUUUCCGUAACCUAAAUGCUCGAAAAUUUGGAAAACAUUUUUUUCAAAAUUGUUUUCCGCAAAACGAACGGAGCGUUAUUAUGAGCAUACAUUUACUAAUGGGUUUGACUAACCUUGAGUAGUAAGCGUUCCUUCUAUGGUAUUAUUCUGGAGAGAAAGGAUCUUGAGGGAUGAUAGUGCCCCUAAUGCUCGCAUGACGGUCCCCACAUCCUUCAAGUGGACACCAUCCAAGUAGAGGUUCUCUAAGUGGCUCAAGUUUUUGAUGCCUACCAAUAAAAUUCCAAGAAAAUAACUUGAUUGGCAAUAAAGUUGUGAAAUCACCCAUGCGGAUGCUUCGCGACAGGGAUCUUUUGAAUCAGGUAACAUUUCUAUAUAGAAAGAGAAGGGGGUCCCAAUUUAUGACUUCUAUAUUCUCAGUAUGACGCACAUGUAAAGCUAUGAGAGACACCGCAUGAAAACUGAAACAAUAUCUUUAGCAGUAGCCGCUGCAUUGACUACAUUACAACUUAUGUCUAGCUCCUUUAAAUUAUUGAAACAACCUAAUUUAUCCAUGAACCUUGCUAACUCAAGUCAAGGAUGGUGAUUUUGUUCAGAAUUAUGAACAGAGAAUAAGUUGGAGAAACUAUCAUUCACAUUUAAAGUCCCAUUCAAAUGUUAUUUUGGAGAAUUAUCCAGAGAAAAUAAUGAAAGCACCCACGCGGAUGUCUGGGAAUAGGAAUCUUUUGAAUCGACAACAUUUCUAUAUGGAAAGAGAAUGGAUGACUUCUAUAUUCUUAAUAUGAAGCACAUGUAAAGGUAUUAAAGAGCAUGCAUGAAUCGUAGUCUAGUUAGUUUAAUUUAUGAAUACAAACAAGGAUUCUACGUGAAAACUAAAACAAUACCUUCAGCAGUAGCUACUACAUCGAUUGGAUUAUCACUUAUGUCCAGCUCCUUUAAAUUAUUGAAACCACCUAAUUUAUCCACAAACAUUGCUAACUCAAGUCAAGGAUGGUGAUUUUGUAUGGAAUUAUGAACAGAGAAUAAGCCGGAGAAACUAUCAUUCACAUGUGAAGUCCCAUUGAAAUGUUGUUUUGAAGCAUAGACACCUGAGAGUCGGAAUUGUACUGUGAACGGGUAAAAUAGAAUUAUCUAGAGUAAAUAAUGAAAGCACCCACACAUAUGCCUUGGGAUAGGAAUAUUUUGAAUCAAUAACAUUUCUAUAUAGAAAGAGAAGGGGGGGUGCAAUAUUUGACUUCUUUACUCUUAAUAUGAAGCACACGUAUAGGUAUUAAAGAGCUUGCCUACAUGACUCACAAGCUAGUUAGUUUAUUUUAUGAACAAAAAUGAGGUUCCUACAAGAAAACUGAAAUAGUACCUUCAGCAAUAGCCACUGCAUCAACUGCGUUAUCACUUAUGUCCAGCUCCAUUAAAUUGCUAAAACCACCUAAUUUAUCCAUAAACAAAGUUAACUCAUGUCAAGGAUGGCAACUUUGUACUGAAUUAUAAGUAGAGAAUAAGUUGGAGAAAUUUACCAUUCACAUGUAAAGUCCCACUCAAAUUACUGCUUUCGAGGAGCAAAUGCCGGAGAGAUGGAAUUGUACCAAGAAUGGAUAGAAUAGAAUGAUCUAGAAAGUUAUAGCUCAAGUCAAGCACCUCUAGUUUGCUUAGCCUUGAAGAUAGCAGGUUUGGUUCUGCAAACAAACAAUAAAAAGCAGUAAAAGCCGCAGAAAACUAUUCAAGGACACUUGCAAAUAGAUAUUGCCAUUUCAAGGGGAAAUAUGUCAUAGACUCGUGAAUAAAUGAUGACGUGGACAUAAUCAUCUAUGAUGCAGGAAGUAAGUAAGAACCUAAACAUGAUUAACUUAUGAGUUCAUUAGAUAAUGAGUAUCUCUUUUUUAUAGGAAAUAGACGAACGGCAAAUUUAUACCUUCUGGUGCAAUCCACCCUCCUAAAUAGUUGGAGGACAAGUCGAGGGUCUUGAGUUCUUCAAAGGGAAGAAGUAGAGAAGCGUUUAGAUACCAAGUUUUGGAGCCGAAACAGUCAUAUCUCAAAUUGGAGAGCAUUAGCCGAGUGAUUCAUCCUGUGGUGGGAUUGCACUCUACACCUUCCUAGCUGCAACUGUUGAAAUAUGAUCCCCCGGCGUCCACCCUAUAUGUCAGGUCCAAUGUGGCAUUGAGUGCUAAGAGGGCAACCUUUUCUUGCUCCCGACACCCACGGGAGCCACAUAAACAUGCGAUACCCCAAACCACCACAAACACCCACAAUGCUUCCUUUUUCAUAACUGCAAAUUUGAGUGACCAAACUUUAUAUGGAUCGCACUUUGGAGUUAACAUCCUUUUUGCAAGUUAGAGAAACUUUAUAGGAGUUCAACGGCGGCUGUGCUUGAGUGUGAAACUUGUGGUCAUGGCCAAAGUCUUGGUCAUAAUUUUUCCACGCACUUUCUUUUGUACAACCAAUAAGAAAAUCCCAAGUAGGCGAUUAAAGUCCAUGGAAAAUUUGAUCGCAAGAGUUCAUUGUAUUUGCUACUGGGGCCCUUGGCAAUUGUCAACAAAAAAAAUUUCUCCGUCAAUGUUUAACGAGCCGGAGUCUACAUGCCCAAACCUCCCAAAUUGAGCUUGUAUCUUUUUCUUACCCAACGUCCAAGCAAUAUCCUCUCAAAUAUUUUACAUUGAAGGUAUAGAUGUAAUCGUGAAUAUAUCCAACCAAAUGAAAGAAACUCUCCAAUAUAUACGCCAUUCACAGAAAGGUUUUUUGGAUUUCUUUCUUAUCCAAUCUGGGUUCAUCGAGUUAGAUUCACUCGGAAAAUGCCCUCCAUUAAUGCGUGAUCAAUGCAUAUGAGCCAUUAGAUCUUAUGCAUCUCACAUGGUCUCAUAAAAUUUACUGGUGAAAAUGCAUUAGCUCACAUAAUCGUAGCCCUUCAGGAUUGGUGUAAUUGAUUGGAGCACUUAGCGAUUUCUAGCUCAAGAAUUUGGGAAUCACCCAUUGAUCCCACUAUUUUCAUGCAAACUAGCCUUCUGCACAAAUCGACCUUUUGCAUUUAAUUGGUCUAUAGGACUUGUAGAGCAUUUCGAAAAACUUUCAGUUAACCCAGUCUUCACGCUCCGAGCCAUCAAGUAUAAAACAAAAGGCGUUAGCGCGGGAUUUCUGCCCACUCCAAAAACAAUUGUUCGGAGCGUGUACGGGUCAAAUGUGGGAAUUCCAUUACGCGCCUAACCCCUCUUCCCGAAAGAAAACAAUUAAGACGAUUGGAAAAAGAAAAAGUCUCGCAAGUGCGAGGGAGGGGGAGAAGAAGGGGUAGGGUUGCUGUGAGUUUGACGCGUGUACAGUCGCGCGUGGGGGCCCCACCCGGGUGGGGUGAGGGUCCCGCCUCGCCAGCAAAAAGUCCAAAUCCUUAUUUAUUGCGCGACUUCUGUAGAGAGGGGAGGACCAUGGCGGAGGAGGUGCGAUGAGAUGGAAACUGGGGUUCCGAUUUGGAUUUUAGCAAAUUCUCAAGUUCUAGAAAAGCAGCUCGCUCUCCUUAGUUUCUUUAUCAAUUUUAAUGAAGAAAAUUCAUUUCGGACGUCUCCCAAAAGACGCCCUUUUACGUCUUCUAAAUAAAUCACGCAGAGCUAUAUUUUAAUCCAAUUUUUCAAAAAAAAAAAAAGUAAGGGGAAAUUGAAAAGCACAUUAGGCUAGGCGUGCAAUUUCGAUAAUUUUGUCACGUAUUAAAUAUUUUAUAAUACUUCAUUUAUCUCCUAAAGAGUAUUUUUUUUUUUUUUUUCCUAAAGAGUACUUAAAGUGUAGAUAAAGCGACCACCUUUGCAAGACCUGUGCCUUUCGGGGCAGACGACUUUGGAUUUUACACCAUCAUCUGUCAAGAGAAGACCUUGAUGUUUUGAUUGACGCUUCCUCUGCAUACCAUACUCCGUGGAAGCAUCCUGGAGAGCAAUUCCACCCAAUUUUUUCAUCGUUUCAUCCAAAUCACUGCUAGAAGAAUCGUCUGCAUCAUCUGACGAAGAAGAAACCUGCUGUAACAAAUUUUUAGCGUCUAAAAGAGAAUCGCUCCCACCGAUUCCUUCCAAAUAAUCUUGAGCAAUUUCAUCAUCAACAUCUGAACCACUAUCAGACAUGUUCUCGGAGUCAUCACUUUCAAAAGAAUCUGUCGCUCGAUCCUGCUCAGCUGACUCCGACUCCGAGUCUUCCUCAUCACCAUAUGCCGCAACAUCAUCCUCACCAUCUUCCUCAUCGGAUAUAUAUUCUGUAUAUAUUUCCAAUCCCCCAAUUGAUACAAACCCAGAAUUUUCCUUCGUGGAUGUAUCCUUUGACAAAAGCUGAGCCCCCUUUUCAGCUGCUCCAGAGUCAAAGCUCUCACGAUAAUCCACUUCCUGCUCAGGCGAUGACAUGCCACUCUGUGACUCUUCUCGAUUUUCCAUUUUCCCUGAUGAUGCUUUGAUUCCCGUUGGAGCUGCAUUGUAUUCAUUACAAUAGCCCAAUCCUGUGUGUGAGCUAUCGCCGAGAACAAAAUCUGAAUGAUACUCAUAACUGAUAUUUGCUUGAUCCACUGACGAUGGCCCUUCAUCUACAUAAGCAACAAUUUGGCUGUCCUUUGAACCACACAGAAUGAAAGGCUGAGAAAAUUCCAUUUUAUUCUCUCCAUUUGUAUCUCCGAACGUCGAUACUGGAUGCAAACCAUCCUGUAAAAAAAUAUAACUAACUCAGAUCAACACAAGUGAGAGACUGAGAUCAGCUGAUCCGCCGCCACCGCCGCCGCUGUUUAUUCUCGAAUUCGAUCUCCUCUUGCCUCCAGCCAUGUCCGAGCUCGCGAAUCAACUUCGAUUGAAUCUUCUGACCUAAUUGAUCGAUCGAUCGAGAUCGAUUUGGGGGCGAUGACGAGAGAAAGGGAUCACCUCCUCCCGCGUGUGGUUUCCUUGCCUUGGGGGAAGCGGUCACAUCUGGACCGUUGGCUAUUCGCCGUGGGCCGCAAGGGGACUCGUGGACGGCUGUGAUGCGGCGGCGGGAGCUUGGGGAUGUCAGAUUCCACUACGCAAACAGCUGCGGCGGGGGGCUCUUUCUCUUUGGGAAUAUGCGAGAACCAAUGCCAUCGGCCAAUCAGCAAUUCAGCAUGGUCUUUUGGGAUUGUCGUGGACAACUAGUCUAGCUAGGUGGAAUUCGACCUUGGUUUUGCAAUUUGAUAGGGAUCCUCUAAAACCUUUUUGGCUUAGGCUACCGAAAUCACGACCAUUUGUGAUGUAUUUAUAUGUUAAUGGGAUUAAUUGAGUCAAUUUGCUCUCUCAAGUCAUGGGACCCCAAAUUUUCUUUAAGGAAGUCUCUAGAUAUUUAGACAUUAAUUAAAGGAGAUGAGACGCAAUAAUGAUCACUGAGUUUUGCAUAUCCAGUAUAAUUUAUUCGUCGAUACAUGAAAGAUCUCUAAGUAGAAAUAGUUUUUUUAUUACUGUAAUGAAGUUGGAUUGCACGCAAACUAGCUUUCCUAGAUGCUCAUUUCUUUUUAUUGAAGAUACCACACUGUUAUAAUUGGACAACAACUUCACAAGUUGCUUUAUAGAAGUUUGUCAUGUUUGGGAGGUUGAAGAUGUCCUUGGGGACCAUCCUCGCUUUACAUUUUGAAGAUAAGCACACCAUGAUGCACAAUCAUAAGAAAAAUUAGAGUGGCAACAAAUUACACUUCUAAUUUGGUUUGCUCUUCAAUUUGCAUUAGCCUUGUAGACUAGAUAUGCAGCGGAAGAUACAAUGUGGAAGAGAGAUUAUUUCGAGAAGGCGAACAAGGGAUGGUAUUUUUAGCUGGCAAUUUGGUUGCGGUUUUAGCUACCUACUUUGGCAAUUUGGUUUGCUCUCUAGAUCACCAGAUCGCGUGACUUUCAAGGUCAAAAGCCACGAGCAUUCGUGCUGCCUUUGAGCUUGUGGCCAUGGCCUUGAGUGCAACAUUGAAGCUCUAACAGUUAACAUUGGCAUGGUGGAAGAUGGCCCGGGGGGGGGUUAUUUAUCUCUUUUUCCUUGGGUCCAAGGGUUUGUUUGUCUUUUCAACUUGGGUCUUUCUCUGAAAAUGCAAAUUGUGCAUUAUAAAAAGUGGGGAUGGUUUUUCCAAGGUUCUCUAUAUUUUUUCCUCUAUUUUUUUUUUUUUGUGAAAAAAGGGCAUAAUACCUUACUUAUAUGUUAUUUGAUAUAAUAAUUCUCUUUUGCACGUUAAACUUGCUUCUACAUAUUUUAGAUAAUCUAUAAGGUCGAUGUUAUAUGAUGCGUAGCUUUAUCACAAUCCUGCCUCUAGAGCUAAGCUCCUAGCGUAAUGUUAGAAUGUCAUUCCGCACAGAUAGGGCUAGCAAAAGUAGUCAUGAAAAUGCAAGUUUGACCGUGAAUUUAACUAUCUCAUGAGACACUCUAGCACAAGUGCACCUUCAUAAAAGUUAGACAGAAAUCAAUGUCCUAACCAAAUUGCAUAUGAGCUAUGAACCUAUGAAUUUGAUGAACAUGCAGUCAUUCACGCUAUCUUGUCAAGCAAGAGGAGUUUUAUGUCUCGAACGGUUUGUGAAUGGACCGAGUGAUAUAUAGAAACAAAAAUUUUCAUUCGGAAAUGAAAGCAAAUGUGCUAUUGUAGAAAUAACAAAGGUGAGAAGAGACAGCUGUGUUUUUCUAGUAUUGUUUGUUAUCAUUAUUAGUAUGAUCACUUAACCAAAUAAAGAUGAGCUAGCAACUACGUAAAAACCACCUUUUCAAAAAAGGGAAGGAUCACGGCAUGCAUUGUCUUCAAGGAAAUUAAAACAAUACCUUAUUCAGUUGUGAAGGUGAAAACUUACAUUGACCCAAUAAAUCCACAUUGAGGCCAACGCUCAUCAAAGACAAUAACAAAUGAUAGGAAAAAAACUCAAUCCUACCAUUUCCUAGAAAUACAAAACGGGAGAACCUAAAUUGUUGGGCCACUGGACAAUUUUCGAAAACCAUCUUGCACAAAAUAGUAGCAUGUGAUGAAUAAGCUCCAACAUGUGGUGAUAACCAGUUCCACAUAAUGAAACCAUCCCUGCCGCCAUUGGGGGUUGAUGAACAAAACAACUAGAAUUACCAGUAAAACCAUAGUGUAUGACACUCCGAAGCUAAUGUAGAAUGUCUCUCCGUCUAUGAAACCAUCUUCUUUAGCUUUCGUGCAUGAUUUUGUUGCUGAGCAAUUAACAUUAAUGGUUGUCAAACAGUUAUUACUCAACGGCAGUCCACACAAAAGAUGGUUUCCGUAGUAACUGCUUUCAUCGAAUGACCCAAAUUGAUUUUUGUUUGGUAUGGCUCCUGACAAGUCGUUGUAAGACACAUUGAAGACUCCCAAAAAAUUCAACCGAGUGAGCUCUUCAGGGAUAGAACCAAUCAAGUUGUUAUAGGAAAGGUCAAUGCUCUCUAUCUUUGUGAGGUUCGACAAUGACAUCGGUAUAUGUCCUGUAAGCUUGUUGUGCGACAGAUUCAGCAUAAGCAUGUCUUGUGAGAUUGCAAUCUCUGGUGGGAUCUCCCCACUGAAAUGGUUGUAAGAAAAAUCUAGUCCUAUCAUGUUAAGGAGUGCGUAGCCUUUAUAAGCAUCAAACCUUCUUUUUGUUGUGAACCCAACAGUAUGUGGAACUCCCCAUUUAUCGUCUACCAGAAUUUUAUCAUGGUAGAACUGGCUAUCGUAGAGUCGGGCCAAGCUUCUAAUUGUCCUCACAUAACACCAGGGUGACAAUAAUUGACCUCCAUAGUCGGAACGCGGUGUUGAAUCUACCUUAUUGGCAUAUCCUCUAGAGGAGAAAUUCAUGGGUCCCAAGCAAAUAGGUAAUGGACCAAACAGAUUGUUUUUAGAAAGAUCGAUCAUACUUAAGCUUUUCAAUCUGCACAAUUGCUUGGGAAAUGUUCCAUAGAAGCUAUUACCUCUCAGUAAAAGAAUGCUUAAUUGAGAGACAUUACCUAGCCAAUAGGGUAUGCUUCCGAAGAACUCAUUUUCACUCAAAUCCAAGGUCACCAAAUUGGAGCUAUUAAGGAGUAGAUGCACGAUUGAACCAUUCAAUUUGUUCCCAUUCAGAUGGAUAUGUCUCAACUCCGGUGUUAUGAAAGAUGAUGCUAAUGAACCAGAGAGAUUGUUGUCAGACAAAGCCAAAUACUGGAGCUGAGGAAGAUUAAAGAGUCCUUGAGGGAUGAGGCCAUUUAACUGAUUUUUGGACAAGUCAAGGAGCGCAAGCGAUGACAAGUUUGCAAUCACUCUGGGAAGUUGACCAAUGAAAAUGUUGUUGCUAACGUCCAAUUCAAACAGAUUUGCAAGUGAUGAAAGAAAAGAGAGAUCUCCAGUGAACCUAUUGUGUUCUAAGUUUAGGCAUAACCAAUUUAGGUUCUUGGUGUCGUUGGAAAACACGAUUUCUCCUUGCAAGUUGUUAUAUGCUACGUUGAGUUUUUCCAAUGAUGAGUUGCUAUCUAGUAACUGGAUGGGUAGUCCCUUGGAGAAAUUGUUGUGGGAAAGGUCUAAGGAAUAUAGGGAUUUCAUACUACCCAGUUCAGAUGGAAUAUUCCCUUCCAAUCUGUUGGCUGAUAGAUUAAGGUGGGACAGAUUUGGGACAUUUAAACAAAAUUCGGUCGUGAGCUCUCCUCUCAUGCCGUUGUUAGACAUGUCCAUCAUCGAAAGAUUAUGAAGGGCCAUAAGUGGAACCUCAAGUUUCGCAAAUAAGUUAUUCGCCAUAAGAAGAUUUUCCAACUUAGUGUUAUUUUCCAACAACCAAGUUGCAAAGGGACCCGGAAUGUCAUUCAAGGAGAGAUCAAUGGUUCUUAGGUCAUAUUGAUGAUUGAGAAAGCCAAGAGAAGUCACUUUGAAUCCUUUCGAUAGACUAUUUGAUAUACUAAAAUCCUUCAAUUGGAACCUCGGGAUCGAAGGCGCAACUUUGGAAUCAAUUGUUAGUUUAUUGUCAUCAAGCAAGAGGACCUUAAGUCUUGAAUAGUUUGCAAGUGGGCUGAGUGAUGAGGGGAUAUCAAAAUAAUUACCCGAAAUGGAAAGCAAUUCGAGUGAGGUAAGACUAGUGAGGGGAGAUGAUGCGAUGUUAUCUGUGAAUUCAUUGUCUUCAAGAAAUAGAACCCGGAUAGAUGUCAUGUUUCGCCAGCAUGUAGGAAGCCUGCCAGUAAUUCCGUUAAUGCUAAGAUCCAGCUCUUCUAGUUUUAUGAGGUUACACAAGCCUGUUAUGGAUAUCAAAAGUCAAUUCAAUUACAGUGGUAGAUAUCAGAACGUAUAGCAAUGAUAUACACAUACAUGAAGGAUUCAUUUUAUGUCCAAGUUUUACUCUGAGAGAUCAGGACUUACUCUGAUUUGAUAGUUUGCCAUUAAGACCGGUGCUGUAUGAGGACAACAAUCUAAGAGAUUUCAAAGGACCAAGGCUGGAAAGGAUUCCCAUGGUGGUGUUCAACGAAGAAUAAUCCAAGAUGAGCUGUUCCAACUUACUGAAGUUAUGGAAAUCUUCUCAGAAAACGAAAGAUUAUUGACAAUCAGAUUUCCUUACACAGACAUAAUCAAGAAAUGGCAUAGAAAUAUCAUGAGUGAAUGGAAUACUUUUAAUAAAAACUUAGGUUAUGUUUUUUAUUCGGAAAAUAUGACUUUUCGGGAAAAUGUUUUCCAAGAAGUCAUUUUUUAGAAAAAAGAUAAUAUUUUCCGAUGUUCGGUUGAAAUCUGAAAAUAAAUUAGGAAAUAUUUUCCAUCAUUUGGUAUGAAAAAUCUGAUUUGAUUUUCAUUCAUGUACUCCUUUCAGUAAUAUUUUUACUUUAAAAAAUAUAAAUUUUAAUUAUUUUUUCUUUUUUCUUUUUUCUUUUUUCCUUCUUUUCCGGUUGAUCACCAUCCAUAGGUGACAUCAAGAUUGCCCGAGGUAGACAAGCUCGAGCCUUGUUAGAUUGGCGAAGCCUCGGCCUUUGGUGAGCUUGUCCUUUGCUUGUGGUCAGUCGCCAUUGUCGGCGAUCGAAUGAGGAAGAAGGAAAAAGAAUAACAAGGAAAAAAGAAAGAAAGAAAGAAAGAAAUUAAAUAUUUGAUUUUUUUAAAUGAAAAAAGAAAAAAUAAUAAAAAAGAGUGCAUGGAGGAAAAUAGGUUUAGGUGAAAGAAAGAGAAUGGAAAAUGAUUUCCUCAUUUUCCCCACUUUUGAAAAUGCCUUUUCCAUUGUAGGAAAAUAUUUUCCUUCACUUAUUUAUUUUCCGUAACCUAAAUGCUAGAAAAUCUGGAAAACAUUUUCUUGAAAAUUGUUUUCCGCAAAACAAACAGAGCGUUAUUAUGAGCAUACAUUUAUUAAUGGGUUUGACUAACCUUGAGUAGUAAUCGUUCCUUCUAUUGUAUUAUACUGGAGAGAAAGGAUCUUGAGGGAUGGUAGUGCCCCUAAUGCUCGCAUGAUGGUCCCCACAUCCUUCAAGUGGACAUGAUUCAAGUAGAGGUUCUCUAAGUGCCUCAAGUUUUUUAUGCCUACCAGUAACAUUCCAAGAAAAUAACUUGCUUGGCAAUAAAGUUGUGAAAGCACCCAUGCAGAUGCUUCGCGACAGGAAUCUUUUGAAUCGGGCAACAUUUCUAUAUGAAAAGAGAAGGGGGUUCUAAUCUAUGUAGCACAGACACUCUCUGGAAGUCUUCGUGUCGUGUCCGACACUCCGACACGUGUCCGACACGCUCCGACACGUCCCGACACGCUCCAACAUGCGGUCAACGAGUGUCGAAAAAUCCAACACAUGGUCAACUCUCUCCGACACACGAGUCUAGAAUUCCGACACGCGAUUCCGACACGCAUGGGAUCAAUUUUAAAAUUUCUAAUACUUGAGGGGUCAAAAUAUAAAUAUACACAAAAGAAGUAAUAAAAUUGCUAUAAAUAUACACACACGAGGUCAAUUUUUUUUUUUCAGUUUUGUUUUUUUAGAAUUUUUUUAUUUUUUAAAGUCUUUUACUAUGAAAGAAGUAAUAAAAAUGCUAUAUAGGAUAAAUAAAUAAAUUUAAAAAUAUCAUUUCGGCGUUUUUCUUUAAACAAUGUUUUUUUCCUCUAAGUUGUGUAUUAUUGUAACAAAUUAAAAUAAUGAAUGAUAUUAUUUAAUAUUUUUCGUGUAAAUUAAUUCUAGGCUAUUAUUAUUAUUAUUUAUUUAUGUAUUUAUAUAUAAAAAUAUAUUUAAUAUAUAACGUGUCGGAAUGUGUCAAAAUUCUCUAUUUUUAAGAAAUGACGUGUUGGUAUGUCGUUUCGUGUCGUGUCGCGUGUCGCGUGUCCGUGUCGGUGCUAUAUAGGUUUUAAUUCAUGACUUCUAUAUUCUCAAUAUGACGCAGAUGUAAAGCUAUGAGAGAUACUGCAUGAAAACUAAAAUAAUACCUUCAAUUGUAGCUGCUGCAUUGACUGCAUUACAUCUUAUGUCUAGCUCCUUUAAAUGAUUGAAACAACCUAAUUUAUCCAUGAACCUUGCUAACUCAAGUUAAGGAUGGCGAUUUUGUCCGGAAUUAUGAACAGAGAAUAAGUCGGAGAAACUAUCAUUCACAUUUAAAGUCCAAUUCAAAUGUUGUUUUGGAGAAUAGACACCUGAGAGUUGGAAUUGUACCGCGAACAGAUAGAAUAGAACUAUCUAGAGUAAAUAAUGAAAGCACCCACGCGGAUGCCUAGGAAUAGGAAUCUUUUGAAUCGGCAAUAUUUCUAUAUGGAAAGAGAAGGGAUGACUUCUAUAUUCUUAAAAUGAAGCACAUGUAAAGGUAUUAAAGAGCAUGCAUGAAUCAUAGUCUAGUCAGUUUAAUUUAUGAAUAAAUAAGGAAGAUUUCACAUGAAAACUGAAACAAUACCUUCAGCAGUAGCCACUACAUCGAUUGCAUUAUCACUUAUGUCAAGCUCCUUUAAAUAACCGAAACCACCUAAUUCAUCCACAAACAUUGCUAACUCAAGUCAAGGAUGGUGAUUUUGUAUGGAAUUAUGAACAGAGAAUAAGCUGGAGAAACUAUCAUUCGCAUGUGAAGUCCCAUUCAAAUGUUGUUUUGAAGCAUAGACACCUAAGAGUCGGAAUUGUAUCGUGAACAGGUAAAAUAGAAUUAUCUAGAGUAAAUAAUGAAAGCACCCACACAUAUGCCUUGGGAUAGGAAUCUUUUGAAUCAGUAACAUUUCUAUAUGGAAAGAGAAGGGGGUUGCAAUAUAUGACUUCUUUAGUCUUAAUAUGAAGCACACAUAUAGGUAUUAAAGAGCAUGCCUACAUGACUCACAAGCUAGUUAGUUUAAUUUACGAAUAAAAAUGAGGUUCUUGCAUGAAAACUGAAACAGUACCUUCAACAAUAGCCACUGCAUCAACUGCAUUAUAACUUAUGUCCAGCUCCAUCAAAUUACUAAAACCACCUAAUUUUUCCACAAACAGUGUUAACUGAAGUCAUGGAUGGUGACUUUAUAUUGAAUUAUAAGCAAAGAAUAAGUUAGAGAAAUUUACCGUUCACAUGUAAAGUCCCACUCAAAUUACUGCCUCUAAGGAACAGAUGCCGUAGAGAUGGAAUUGUACCAAGAAUGGAUAGAAUAGAAUGAUCCAAAAAGUUAUAGCUCAAGUCAAGCACCUCUAGUUUGCUCUGCCUUGAUGAUAGCAAGUUUGGUUCUGCAAACAAACAAUAAAACGCAGUAAAAGCCGCAGAAAUCUAUUCGAGGACACGUGCAAAAUAGAUAUUGCCAUUUCAAGGGGAAAUAUGUCGUAGACUCGUGAAUAAAUGAUGACAUGGACAUGAUCAUCUAUCAUGCAGGAAGUGAGUAAGAACCUGGACGUGAUUAACUUAUGAGUUCAUUAGAUAAUGAGUAUCUCUUUUUUAUAGGAAAUGGAUGAACGACAAAUAUAUACCUUCUGGUGCAAUCCACCCUCCUAAAUUGUUGCCUCGCAAGUGGAGGCUCUUGAGUUCUUCAAAGGGAAGAAGUAGAGAAGUGUUUAGGUACCAAGUUUUGGAGCCGAAAUGGUCAUAUCUUGAAUUGGAGAGCAUUAGCUGAGUGAUUCGUCCUGUGGUGGGGUUGCACUUGACACGUUCCCAACUGCAACAGUUAAAAUAUGAUCCCCCAGCUUCCACCCAAUAUGUCAGGUUCAAUGUGGCAUUGAGCGCUAAGAGGGCACCCCUUUCUUGCUCCUGACACCCACGAGAGCCACAUAAAUGUGCAAUACCCCAAACCACCACAAACACCCACAGUGCUUCCUUUUUCAUGACUGCAGAUUCGAGUGACCAAACUUUAGAUGUAUCGCACUCUGGAGUUAACAUCUUUUUUGCAAGUUAGAGCAAUUUUAUAGGAGUUCAACGGCGCCUGCGCUUGAGUGUAGAACUUGUGGUCAUGGCCAAAGUCUUGGUCAUCUUUAGUGAUGAAUGUAGCUCAACCACUUUUGGUGACAAGGUUAAUUAGCGUGCCAAGCAAGGAAUGUACAUUACGCAAUGGCCAGAUUUCAUUGGUGGAGAAUUUUCCAAAAGUCUCUAUUGGCAUAAUUUUUCCACACGGUUAGUCUAGCCUAGCCUAGUCAACCGUUGUCAUUUAUAUGACUAAUUCAAUCUCUAUCCAAAGUAAAGGACAAGCCUUGUCAUUUACUUGGAACUUUUGGCAAAAAGUGAUCUUGACUAGAGGCAUCUCAGAAGUAGACAUGUUGUAAAGGUAAUGCGAAAAUUGACAAGAUCUUGCUAUUAAAACAAUGCAAAAACAUUGAAGAAAUGGACGGGGAACAACGGAUAUACCAAAUAUUUAUGUGAUUCGAUCCGAAUAUGGGUACCUACCCAUGGGAGAGGCGGCGAUAAAUAAUUCACUGUAAUAAGAGAUUUAGAGUUAUAAUUGCUUACACGGUCGAGUAUUUCCCACACCUAGACUAAGACCAAACUCAAAAGUGUUUACAAAUAAACAAAUUAAUUAGAUGUAAAGUUCACGGUGCAAAUCAUUGCGUGUUUAAGCCUAUAGCAAAACCCUUUGGACAGCUAAUUCAAGAGUGUCCAUACAUUCUUUCUUUUGUUCUCUGUGUGGUGGCUCAAUUUCAAAAGAACCCCUAUUUGGCUUCUUUAGUAAAGGAAACCCAAGAAAGCAAAACCUUGCUUUUAAUUUAUUUUCUUUUCUCUAACCACUUCCUGAACCCAUGCGCUUUCUUUUGUACAAACAAUAAGAAAAUCCCACGUAGGCAAUUAAAGUCCACAGAAAAUUUGACCGUAAGCGUUCAUUGUAUUUGCUAUUGGGGCUCUUGGCAGCUGUCAACAAAGAAAUUUCUCCGUCAAUGCUUAACGAGCUGGAGUCUACACGCUCAAAUCUCCUAAAUUGAACUCGUAUCUUUUUCUUACCCAACGUCCAAGCAAUAUCCUCUCAAAACUUUUGCAUUGAAGGUCUAAAUGUAAUCAUGAAUACAUCCAACGAAAUGGAAAUAAAUGAGGUAAGCGAAUGACCAUUAAGUUAGGAAGUGGGAUUGCACACAAAUUUGCCUUCCUCGAUGCUUGUUCCUUCUUGGAGGAAUCCCACAGCGAUAUAAUUGGAUGACUUUACUGGUAGCUUUGUGCUCGAGUUUGUUGGCUUUUGAUGCAUCCGAAUUUACAUUCGAUCCUACAAAGUAAACCAAGCAGACCAAAACACACUCUUGUGCUCACAAAAAUCACCCUUCUCACACACAUACAACUGAGAAAACCGGAUUUUUUUCAGUUUCCUUUCAAGCCCCCAUUUUUAUCAAAGGAAAGCGCGAGCAAAACCGAGAGAAAUGGACCUCGCUGGGGGACUGGAGAUGGGGUCUUGACAAGACGUUGAGUAAUGCCAGUUCGACAAGAGGCCGCCUUCGACGGAGAGGCUGCCUCUGAUUGACACCGAGGCGCCGAAUCCCCUCCCCUCCCUCUUCUUCCGCCGCCGCCGCCCGUUUCUCCUUGAAUUCGAUCUCCUCUUACCUCCAGCCAUGUCCGAGCUCGCGAAUCAACUUCGAUUGAAUUUUCUGACCUAAUUGAUUGAUCAAUCGUGACCGAUUUGGGGGCGACGACGAGAGAAAGGGAUUACCUCCUCCUGCGUGUGGUUUCCUUGCCUUGGGGGAAGCGGUCGCAUCUGGACCGUUGGCGAUUCGCCAUGGACCGCAAGGGGACUCGUGGACGGCUGUGAUGCAGCAGCGGGAGCUUGGGGAUACCAUAUUCCGCUACGCAAACAGUUGCGGCGUGGCCUCUUUCUCUUUGGGAAUAUGCAAGAAUCGAUGCCACGGCCAAUGAGCCUGGUCUUUUGGGAUUGUCGUGGACCACUAGUCUAGCUAGGCGGAGUUCGAUCUUUAUUGGUUUUGUAAUUUGAUAGGGAUCCUAUGAAAAUUUUUGGCUUAGGCUACCGAAAUCACGACGAUUUGUGAUGUAUUUAUAUGUUAAUGGGAUUAAUUGAAUCAAUUUUCCCUCUCAAGUCACAGGACCCCAAAUUUUUUUUAAAGAAGAUGAGACGAGAGAAUGACUAUUGAGUUUUUGCAUAUCCAAUAUGAUUUAUUCGUCGAUACAUGAAAGAUCUCUAAGUAGAAAUUUAUGGUUUUAUUAAUUAUUGUGAUGGGCCUAAGUUGGUCCGUCCACUCAUGUUGGGCCUAAAAGCCUGGCCCACAAGAUUAGAGCCUAUGGAUGAAGGGAUACGUUUCUUUUUUGGAGGGGACGUAUAUAAGGAGGAAAAGAGAGGGAGAAACGUACCUUUUGGUUUUUACAUACGUUCCUCCUCCCUCUCUCCCUUGAAACACUCCAAAAAGAACAGAAAAUUAAAAGAGACAACACUCUCUUUCCUUCAAGGCUAAUUGAUGUCAUCGGAUCAAACGAAAUCAGUUUCUCUUUCUCAUAUCGGCGUCAGUGUUUAAUCUGUGGCUAAUAAGGUACGUUCGAUUCUAUGAUGUGCCUUAGGAUCGGUGAUGUAUGUGUUUUUCCAGGGCUCGUCUUCCGCACAUUUUUAGGGGUUCAAUUUAGUGUCGAAUUCGGUUUAAGGGAAUCAGAAAUUCCCUUUUAUAAAUAAUUUCUUUAUUACAAGAAUGAUAUCGGAUUGCACGCAAACUAGUUUUCCUAGAUGCUCAUUUUUUUUUAUUGGAGAUACCACAUUGAUAUAAUUGGACAACAACUUCACUGGUUGCCCUCUUAAAACAUGGAGAUGCUGUCUACCGAGUGUACUGUUUCGACAAAAGGCUACAUCCUAAGUUGCGCUUUCUUGAAUGGUUUUCUUUCUUACCAUGCUCACGAUCUCUUCUAUCCUCCGUGGGAAACCAGAAAACUGAAACGACAGUUGGUCCGGGGCAGGUGUUGACAUGAAAUUAUGCGUCCAACGACCCCUUUUUGUCCAUGACUUUGCGUUCUCGAAUUGAGAGUGGCAUGUUGUGACAUUGAUGGAAGAUGAUGGUGAUGACUUGUGGGUGAUCCCCAUUUCCUGAAAUUAGAGGGUGCUAAAUGUAGAAUUUCCAAAUUUAGAUGAAAUUGGAGAACGAGGGCAAUCGAAGAGGAAACUUAAUUUUGCACUCUACAGUUGUUUUCUCCACGAGAGUUCGUAAUUUUCGAGCAUAUCUAGUAUGUGUUAAUGAGUCCACUAAAGGCAUUACCUAAUUUGUUGUUCCAUAAAGAAAGCCAUGGUUGAUUUCACAUUGAAAAUUGAUAGCCUAGCUUAGUCCGAUGAAUAAAAAAAAAUGGUUAAUACCCUGAAAAACCAAAAACUGGUAUACUUGUGAUAAAUUUACCCCAAGCAACCAUAAAAAAUUCCAAACUGGUAUACUUGACAAAUUUACUCUAAAUUAAUUUAUUCGACCGCCACCAACCCUAAAUUGAUACAUUUGUGAUAAAUAUACCAUCUAUUAAAUUGGAUUAAUAAUACAAAAACCACAAAAAUGGUAUAACUGUAACAAACAGAUAGUAAAAUCCUAAACUAAUACAGCAAUUUACUGUUAUAUGUCAUUCAACUCAGUAAUUUAACAGUAUAAUUUAACAGAAACUAAUAAAAGGUAAAUUUGUUAGAAAUGUACCAAUUUAGGGUAAGUUUAUCAAAGAUAUACCAAUUUAAGAUUUUUGGUGAUCAAAAAAUUAAUUUAGCGUAAAUUUAUUAUAAGUGUAUCAGUUUGAGGUUUUUCAAAGUACUUUUUUUUUUUUUUGGUAAGUUGUUUUUCAGGGUAUUGACUUUAAAAAAAAAUAUUACAUAAAGUAUGACAUCAUGGUGAUGGAAGAUGACAUGGUAGGGGGACUAGAUAGAUAUUUCAAAUUCAGCCUUUUUACCAAUCACGUUCUUCUUGAUGUAAUGGCUAUGCGUUCCAUAAAAUUGAAAAUGGAUUGAGUGUGAACUGAGAUCUCAAAAGCAUAUCUCUUGGGACCCUUGAUUAGGGGCAUCACUAGCAACAGAAUUCCAUGACUUGUUAAACGGGUCAUUGACUUGACUUGCAUUUUAAGGGACAACGACCUUGCGUCCGUGUCCGUGCCCAAUUUGUACGGCGGUCACUUAUUGACCAAAAUAGUAUCGAUGUUAUAAUGAAUUCAAAUGGUCAUUUUCGGUAGAAAUCACGUGAGAUCUACGUAGGAUCAAUCUUUUUUAUCAUUCCAAAUUCAUUUAGAUACAUGUACUGGAUUCAUGUAAAGAUGCCUCCGUCAACCCAAAUACAACUUUUUGUCCUAUGUUUAUCCAUGUUGAGACAUUUUGCUAAAGCAGCAAGCUAGCCUCUUUUCUUCUUCUUCUUCUUCUUCUUCUUCUUCUUCUUCUUUUUUUUUUUUUGGCCUUUUGCCAUUGGAAGGCAAGUCCAAAACAAUCGAAUCUAGUGCCAUAAAAAAGAAAGAUUAAAAUCCAGAACGGCAUCUGACAACCAACAGAAUAAAAUUUCCAUCCGAUGGCAUCUGUAGAUCAUUUAGUUGAAAUUUUCCAACUUCUAUGAUAGCAAAGUGGCAUUAUAUUGCUGGGAUUUUUAUUCUAUAAUUCUACUGCUUUCAAGUUUCUUGGAUAAAUAAAUGGAAACAUAAAUAAAUAAAUAAAUAAAUAAAUCCAACCUCCUCUAUGCUCUGCUUGGUUGAUACAAACGAACAUCAAAUUUGAUAAAUUAAUAAGAUACAAGUACGCACCGGUCAUAGCUUUGAAUUUGGGUUACAUAUGCAAUUUAUAGUCGAUAAAGUUUAAAAUUAAUACUUUCUCUAUGCAUAGCUUAUCCACUUGCGAUUUGAGUAUUGGUAGAUCAGCAUGGAACCGGCCGAAGUCCAAGAUACAAACUCGAAAAAUAUAGAUGGUGGCUUGACCUCGAGAAGAGAUAUUGAUAAUUUAAUGAGAUAUUUUCCGCUUCUUUGGCAAUGGAAAUUGGAAAGCAUGAGCUGCAAUCUGCCUUCAGUCUGUAGACCGAUUCAAGGGGCAAAGGCGUUGACCUCUUUGGAUGAGUAGGGAAAACGAGAGAAUAAUGAGAUUGACAGUACAUACGAGAAAAGGAGGAAAUUCAGAAGUUGGUGUUCAAUCAUGUUCAGUGUGACAAAUUGCAGCAAGAUUCAGGCUGCUGAACAUAUAAAGUUUAGAAUGAAAACAAAAUCUGGUUAAAUUCCCUUUAGGUCAUCCAAGUUAGGGAACGACCGAGGCAUUGUUAUUCAAGAAAAGCAUGAAAUCUUAGAUUCGAUUGAUUUCUACUUGACACUAGAUCUGAUGUGGUUCAUGCCUCAAUAAGAGAUUUGCCUUUUUGACCAUGACUUGUCCAUCUCAACCCUUCUAGACACAAUGAAUUCUUUAUAUGAACAUCCGAAAAUUUUUCUUAAUCAUGAAUGGAUUUGAGUAAUAAUCAUGGUCCACACCACUAAACUCCUGGGAUAGGUAAGUAUGAAAUUAUUCAUACUUAAAAGAAUUUGGUCUUUCAUGCGGUCGAAUGCAACACCGAAAACAAAAGAUGGUUCAUGUUAAACGAAUUUAAACUUAAAAUGGAGAUUGAAUAAUUGCAUUAUUUCCCCUCUACUUUAGAAUUUAUAAUAAUGUAAUAUUUAUACAAUGUAAAACACCUCAGUAGGCAAUAAAAAUAAAUGAAGAGGAUGUCAAGGCAAGAAUCACGGGUCUCCAGGUUGCAUGAAUAAUGCUAGAUGAUUGAAGCCUAUUAUUCAGCUUCGCAUCUUCUGCAUCAAUUUGACCAGAUACUUUUACCCAUAUGUGUAGCCUGAUGUAAACACCAUUUGCUAUAUGCCAUUCAAGAUUUAUGAUUGAUAAGGAAUGAAGUCACACUGCGUGAGAUUAUUUGAGAUCCAAUUUGGGUUGGGUAUCAAUUCCAAUUUGGGUUCAUCGAGUUAGGUUCAUUCAGAAGAUGCCCUCCAUUAAUGCGAGAUCAAUGCAUAUGAGCCAUUAGAUCUUGUGCAUCUCACAUUGUCUCAUAAAAUUCACCGGUGAAAAUGCAUUAGGCUCACAUAAUCGUAGCCCUUCAGGAUUGGCGUAAUUGAUUGGAGCGCUUAGCAAUUUCUAGCUCGAGAAUUUGGGAAUCACCCAUUGAUCCCACAAUUUUCAAGCAAACUGGCCUUAUGCACCAAUCAACUUUUUGUAUUUAAUUGGUCUAUAGGACUUGCGGGGCACUUCGAAAAACUUUCAGUUAACCCAGUCUUCACGGUCCGAGCCAUCAAGUAUAAAACAGAAGGCGUUAGUGUGAGAUUUCUGCCCACUCCACAAACAAUUGUUCGGAGCGUGUACGGGUCAAAUGUGGUGAACUCGUGCGUGUCUACCCGGAAUUCCAUUACGCGCCUAACCCCCUCUUUCCCAAAGAAAACAAUUAAGACGAAAGUGGAGAAGAAGGGGUAGGGUUGCUGUGAGUUUGACGCGUGUACAGUCGCGCGUGGGGGCCCCACCCGGGUGGGGUGGUGGGGGGCCCGCCUCGCCAGCAAAAAGUCCAAAUCCCUUAUUUAUUGCGCGACUUUUUGUUAGAGAGGGGAGGACCAUGGCGGAGGAGGUGCCAUGAGAUGGAAACUGGGUUUCCGAUUUGGACUUUAGCAAAUUCUCAAGUUCUAGAAAAGCAGCUCGCUCUCCUUAGUUUCUUUAUCAAUUUUAAUGAAGAAAGUUCAUUUCGGACGUCUCCCAAAAGACGCCCCUUUACGUCUUUUAAAUAUAUGACGCGAAGCUAUUUUUUAAUCCAAUUUUUCAAAAUAAAAAAAAAGUAAGGGGAAAUUGAAAGGCACAUUAGGCUAGGCAUGCAAUUUCGAUAUUUUUGUCACAUAUUAAAUAUUUUAUAGUACUUCCUUUAUCUCCUAAAGAGUACUUAAAGUGCAAAUAAAGCGACCACCUUUGCAAGACCUGUGCCUUUCGGGACAAACGACUUUGGAUUUUACACCAUCAUCUGUCAAGAGAAGAAUCACACUUUCAUCGCCAGUUGAUGUUGAUGGCAUGUCAAGACUCUUCUUCCCUACGAUAAUGUUGCCGUAAAAUAAUAGCGCAUUUGGUAACGAUUCUGGCAUGUCUGGACUCUUCUUCUCUACGACAAUAUUGCCGUAAAAUAAGGACGCGUUUGAUAACGAUUCUGUUCUUGGAAACAGAUUCUUAUCAAAAAUAAUUCUUUAUUAUUUUGUGCCUUAGAAAUUUAUGUAGCGGUACAAUUUUACAAGUAUAGGACUAAUGUCAAGUUGCCAACCAACAAUUCUCCACAUUAUGGGGCAAGAACAUAUGAGUUAUAUUGAGUGGGAUGUCCACCGCCGUGCGAUGACCUAUCCCAAUUUUGAUGGCGGAUGACUCGAGCACUCAAAAUUCACAAGAUCAGACUCAGCGUUAUUUUCACGAAACAUCUGUUCCAAUUCGUCCAGUUCACACGAAAUUUCUGUGCUCGGCGCUAUCUCCUUGUCUCGCUCCUCAAACUAAAUUUCUGCGUCUGCCAAAUGAAGUCAAAAAAGGAAUCCACUUUUGUCUUUGGCCGUGCGUCUCCUGCGGCGCGGUGAUGUGGUCCGUGUCGAUCCGACGACUUCUCCGACUCCGACUCUUGAGUGCGAGCGUGCACGACGAAGACCCCCAACUGCUGAACGCGUGCCUGUUUUUACACGCACUAUGCUAGGCUGCAUCAAAAGCCAAGAUAAUAGGAUCUCGAGCUACCGGACCAGUUUGAUCCGACGUAAUCAUGUUCUAGUCGCGCCGUGACACUUGGCUCUCUCGAGUAAGCCGAUCAACACUCGCGGCGGUGACAAAUUCGUUGAUGUUUGUUGGGUUGUCGGGGAAUUGGGAACCGGAAAUCGAAAUGAAGAGAGCUCAUUCGGUAUCAUCGUCUGCUCCCUACUUCAUGGGAAUUCGAAUUGAAAAGAAAGAGCGUGCAGCAUACUGUCUUUAUAAAUUUCUGAGCACAUCCCAUGGACAUGCUUUGGAAGAGAUCAGGAACCUUCUUCGGAUUAAAGUAAUCAAGCGAAUCGAGGUCUAAUGCCAUGCAUGAGGAGCGAAUUAAGGACGAAAGUCGGGGUGUCAAUCUGUGUCGACAGCCAGUAUUCACGUGGUGUCAUGUUAAGGGGAUACUCUUAAAUUGAUUGGCCAGAAUAUGAUUCAUGUAAUCAAUAGGUAAUCCAGCCCCAACCCACAUGAUUCUGUUUAAUUAAAUAGGUCAAGCUAGGCCAGUCCAAUCCAAAUGUUACACAAAGAAUCCAAAUAACUUUUUAAAGGUAAAAUCUAGUUUUUUGUGGCUUUUACUCAAGAAAACUGAUGUGCUUAUAUGGUUAUUCACCCAAGGCCUACUAAUUUUAUGAAAAUUCGAAAUUUUAAUAUGAGAUAAUAGUGAUUUAUUCCGAUUGUGUGUAAUAUCAUCAUCAAUAGUACAGAAUUGGGGAAAAAAAACUAAGCUUAAACUCCUUGACUAGCCCCCAUUCCUCCAUCUUUGGUCAAUUUAACAAGCUCGACUGUUCUUGUGUCCAAUCCCGCCUCUUGGCUUGGACUGAGCCAUCUCAUUGGAAAUAUGAGAUUUGACUAAUCUCCCUUGUCUUGAUUUGAGCUCGAAUGACUUCAAUGGAGAAUUUGUCUGUUAAAUUUGAAUAGUUUAAUAAAGUUUGGUUAGGCAGAUAUUUCCCUUACGAUGUGUUAGAAUUUUUUGAGGGUCAAACAUCAUCAAUAGAAGUGUCAUGUAGAAAGUUUGGUAAGACAAACCUUUCCUUUACAAUGGGUUAGAAUUUUUUUGAGGGCCAAACAUCACCAAUAGAAGUAUCGUGUAGACCAUGACUUCUCAUGAACCAUUGGCCACGCAUUGAUCCAAAAUGUCAAAACAUAUCAAACCCCACAAAGACCUUAACUUCUUGAUGGAUGUGUACAAGUUUCUUCAUACGCAAUGCUCGUUUACGUUCUUUUUCUUUUUUGAAGCAAGGCGUCGUGGGUAGCUACUCCAAUAAGUGGUCUUUUUCUAUGAUUAUUUGCCACGAAAAUCACCUGCUGGAAUGUCAAACGUACCGUUCAAGAUGAAAUUUUUGAAUUUGAAACUCAUGGCCUCAUCUUCAUUGCAAGGCCUCCUCUUCCUCCACCGACCUUGAAGAACCCGUCUCUUUUUCGCCGAUUCUUGGAAUGUCGUUGUCCCUAGAUGCUCACGAAGACGAACGGGAGGCUAAAACAGGGAACUCUGUUUCUCCAUCGAGAAAAUGGAGCUUUGCUUAGAAGAAACAGAGCUCUUUCAGCGAGAGAGAGAGAGAGAGAGAGAGAAGCUUCCCCAAUUUUAAAUGAAGCGUUAUUGUGCAGUUCAUUUUGCCUAGCUAGAUGAAGAAUAUUUCACAUUAGACUUCAAUAUCUCUUAUAUUUUUUUUAAAAGAAAAAGAAAACAGGUGUGAGUCAAAGUUUAAUUUAGAAUGCCACAUAGGAUGAAUUGUUGGAAUUUAUUGUUGGAGUCGGAGACACUUAAGCGACCAUUUUUCCAUCGAUGUAGUACUCAAUUAAUUGCUCAAAAUAUUUUAGUAUUAAAGUGAGCACCAUAUGAAAAUUAUGAUAUUUUUAAUUAUUUUUUCAAGUUAAAAUAACGUGUGUUUGACAAUAAUAUUCAAAAACAAGAAAGUGCUUCAUGUGAGACCAAGGUUAUCUAAAAAGUUAAAAUUCAGUGGUAUCUCGUGAGCAUGGUUCAUGGAAUGCAAAGUGUGAAUUGAUCUGCACUAACAUUGUCUCAUUUGGGGAGACUUUGGGAGACUUCCAAGUCUUUAUAUUGAAUUGCUCUCCACUCAAGUUAUUUUCUUGUGGAUCGCCCUUCUUCCAUAUGUCACGGCAAACUCAAGCUCUCCACUUCCCAAGCAAGAAGAGGUCCUCUCUCUCUCUCUCUCUCUCUCUCUCUCUCUCUCUCUUCUUGCCACCAAAAUAGAGGCAGAUGCUCUUCAUCGCAGUGGGUGGUGGCCUCGCCACAUUACGAGCAACACUUCUAUGUCGCAUUGCACGUGGCUUGGCAUUUCAUGCAACGAUUCUGGAAACAUCGUUGAGAUAAACAUACCACGACUAGACGACGACAACUACUACUGGUUUACAGUUAAUUUGAGCAGCAUGAUUGAAUUGAUACGUGUAUGUAAGCUAGCUAAGAAUCUAAGAUGCCUUCAAUUGAGCACCCUCUCUACUUGACAAUUACCAGUUGUGAUGCUGAAACAGCACUCAUGUGACAGCGUUAAGCGCUAUCACUCGCAGUAUCCACACGUCGAAUGGAAGGAUCAAUUUAUAUCUAACUAGACCAUAUUGACUUCUUUUGUGAUGAUCUAUAACUGCAUCUCAAGUAAGACCAACUCACAAUUGCAGAACUUUCAUGCUAAAUAACGGUAAAGGUGCAAAUCGUACACAUUUGCUUCAUUAACGUAAUACAAGACUCAGUAUUUCCAGAAAUUACUGCUUUGACAAAUUACCGCAUUGACGCUUCCCGCGGAGAUGGUAAAACAAGGCCAGGUUGUCCAUAUUGCUAAUGCAUCUUUCCAACAGGAUACAUUUUGAAAAGGUUAUACCUAGCCAUCGAUCAAGCCUUCUUGGCUAUACAAUAAAGUAAUCUCCUGACAACUUAAACAGAAAGAAAUCCUCCAAUAACUUAUAACAAAGGGUGCAUGAGCCAAUGUCACUAGCUUCUAUGUUCACAUUACAUAAUACUGGUGUAACAACUUUCAUUGAAGUUAAGACAGAAUUAGAAUAAUUGUCACUAGGAUAUUAACAUUCCAGAAAGCAAAUGAAUAAAUUGUAAAACUUACCUCAUAGCAACGAAAGCAUCUGCGUUGUUAGAUCAGAAUUCACAUCGACAGCAUCUGCGUUGUUAGAUCAUAAUUCACAUUGAUGGUCCUAAAUAUAAUUUCUAAUUAACACGCAAUUUAUUUUUUGUUUUCACUUAUUUAAUGAGAAUCAUGCCAUGCAUGCUAUUAAUCUAACAUGAAACGACCUAAAUUAGGUCAUAAGAGUAAAGUAAUUUUUUUGUGUUUUCUUCUUGAAAUUCGAAAUUAAAGAAAUGUAAUAAUUAAAUGUGUAAUCUAAAUUAACCAAACGACCUAAUUCUAAUAACGAGCAGUUUCUAAUUAAAUUUCUAUAUGACGCGCACAUGAUUUUUAUUUUUCUAAAAAAUGCAACCUAUUCUAAUAUGCAAUGACGUGCAAAUAAUGUCAUAAUUCUAAUUUUUCUUUUUUCUUUUAUGAAAUUCGAAAUUAAAAUUGUCAAAUAAUUAAACAUGCAAUUCAAAUUUAAAACUAUCAUCCUAAAUGAAUGCAUUUUUUUAUUUUUCAUAAAAAUUCGAAAUAAAAUCCCUAUCCUAAAUAUGCAAUCUAUUUCAAAGAUAUCAUCUAACCUAGAUAUCGUCUAAACAUGCAUUUUAAAAAUAAUGACUAACUAACCUAUCAUGCAAUCAAUCCUAAUCUACAUGCAAUUUUUUUUUUUUUUUUGUAUUUUCGGGAUAAAUAGAACAAUUAAAAGAUAAACAUCAAACCAUCCAUAGUCAUCAAAAAUGCCAUCUACCAUUCAAAUUGAAAUUCAAACUUGAUUAUUUCGCUAAUAAAAUCGAUAAAUUGAUCUUAAGCCUUAAAUAUCAUAUAUCAAUUUUACUCACACGUGAAUUAUUCCAUCUAAAGCCUUAUAGAUAGAAUAAAAAUUUGUGCGGUUGCGAAUUGGAUGCUACAUCAGGGAAUUUCAAUCAUGCAUUGGAAAAUAAAUCAAACAAAGAGACAAAAUAUUCAAAAAAACUAAAACAAGAUAAAAUAAAUCUAGUAAAUCUACCUAAUAAAAUAAAAUAGAUCUAUACCUAAAUUUGCAUUUUUUCAAAAAAUCCAAUCGGUAGAAUGGACCAACAAUGGGCACGGCACGGCACAGCUCUAGGGCAACGGCCGUGGCGGUACCUCGGCAAGUUCAAUGGGAUAUCUUCUGGGACACCAAGAAAUCUGUGGAGUCGAAUUGAACAGGAAGCAACAACGUCGAUGCAGCAAGAUCAGCAGGUUUCGCCAAUGUCGGGCUGGACCGUGAGAUUCAGGCCCGAAGACCCGACGGAUGCUUCUACAAUAAUGAACAGAUGCUGGAGACGACGCUUCUUGAAACGCACUUGGACUGGCGUGGCCGAGCAACGGGAGCAGCACCUGGCGUGGCAGAUCAGCGGGAGCAACACCUGGCCUUUGAAGAUCCGAGCGUUUGCUGGAGAAGCUGGGCUCGCCAGGAACCUGCAGCAAAUCUGGGCUAAGGAACUUGCAGUCGAUCCUGCACGCUGCCCAGGCUGUCUUGAAUCACUCAGAGACCGCUGGCAGAAGCAAGAUUGCAGUGGGGGGACAGCGAAGCGCCUGGCGUGGCAGAGCAAUGGGAGCAGCACGACACCGGCACCGAGAAGGAGCUGCAGGCACGCGUAGGGAUCACCGACGUCGUGGAGCCUCUAUUGAACUACCACCAGCAAGAAGGCCGAGCUUUGUUCGAUAUCAAUUUUUCUCUCACGAUCCACCCUUUCUCUCGAUUCUCACGUGUGUCGCUCAAUUUUUUGUCGUGUACUUAAUUGUGCCUCUCCCCGAAACUCUACACAAACAACCUAUUUAUAGGCCACGGAUUAGGUUUUUUUAAAUUUUUUUUUUUUCAAACUGAUAUCGACGAAAAUUCUUUUUCCAAACACGAUAUUCAUUUCGCCGAACGCAAUAUUUGCUUUUCCACUUGCCCUAUCCGAAAAAAUUCCAUCAUAUUCCGGAAAAUUUCAAAUUCCUAUUUUCACAAGAUAAUUUCUAAUAAAUAAAAAAACGGGUUUAGGCCAAUUUGCUCGCUUCGUGGGCUUAGUCCAACCUACCAAAUCAAAGCUCAAAACCACUAAUUCGAAUACAUUCAUCACCGGUUCAAUAAAUAAAUGCAUAACAUGUAAAUUAAAAAUAAAUACACCUACAUCUAUAUGCUAUACAAUUAAUAUUUUUUCAAGGAUAAAAUUAACCAUUAAUUUUCUAUACAAUAAAUAAAUGAUCAGAUCUCCAAAAUUUAGGUGUCAACAAAGAGCAUUGAGAUUUGGUCCUAAUAAUCAAUUCUAAAUAACACACAAAGGAUAAUAUGCCCAUCCCUAUUUAAACAACAUAGGAGCAGAAAGGCCAGAUUGACCGUGACAUUAAAAACUCAAGCAUUAUAGGAAGAACGGGGACACAGGUCGAAGAACGUCACGCCUAACAAAGUUGACUUCUAAUGAUGCCGUAGAACUUCAUGCCAGCAAGAUAAUUUAUACUACCGUGAUAAAGAUUUUUGUUACUCAGUAUAACCCCAGAAAGACCCCAAAAAGCACCCAAAAAAAAAAAACAAAACAAAAGGAUCCUCUCAGAAGAACAUGUACCCUCUCAUUCAUCCAUUACCAUCUCAUAUUUAUGAAACAAGGUCUACAACUUCCAUGCUUAAAAAUCUGAUAACAAAAUAACAAUUCAAUGCACGAAGCAUAAGAAAAUUAAGAAAAGACAUCAUAGGAUCCAUGAAGCAGAAGUAACAGAGUUAAUUUUGGCUCAAACAAACAAGGAAUAAAAGAAAGGCAUGUCAAAAAUUAAUUAUGCAAUUGCUUGUUAAUUGUACAUCAAAUCACAAGGACAAUUUAUAAUUAAGGAGAAGAAGGAAGAAUGCCUUUGCAACUUCCAGAUACUUCCACCCUUACCUUAUUUAUACUCUCCAGGUCAACGCCCCUACGAAUCAUUCUGUCCCGACGUUUAGCAGCAAUCAAUUCUUUGCGAUGUUUCUUCUUUUCACCUGUGCAUCAAUUGCGUUUGAAUUUUACCAAAAGAGCAAAAAACUAAAGAAACAUUAUCCUAUGAAGAGCCUUCAGACAAUCUAAAUUGUUCUUCAUUCCCCAAGUAGGGAAAAUUGUCUAAAAAGUCCUAAACCUAUUGCAAUUUUGCCAAUUCAGCCAUAAACAUUUCAAUCUUGCCGAUUGAAUCAUAAACAUUUUAUCAAUUUGCCAAUUGAGUCCAUCCGGCCAAUUUUAGCCGGAAAAUGCUGACAUGGACGCCGGCGGUGCUACGUAGGACUGUCGGCACUGACGUUGACAAUUUUUAAUAAUAUUUUAAUAAUUUAAAUAUUUUUUGAUUUUUUUAAAUAUUUUCUAUUUUUUCCCUUUUUUUUUUUUUUUUUAUCUUUUUCUUUUUGGCUUUUCCCUUGCCCUUUUCCGGUGGCCGGCCACCGGCCACAGGCCACAGGUGAGGCCCAGCCGGGCAACAGUGACUCCGGGCGAGGCUAGCCCUGGCCUCGGCGAGGGCCGGCCUCACUAGAUCUGGCGAGGGGAGCCCUUGGCGAGGCGAGCGUCGGCCUCGCCCAGACCAGAUCUGGCGAGGCCGGCCGGGCGUCGGCCUAUGGCCGGUGGCCAGCCGUCACCCGCCCCGGCCAGGGGCGAGGCUGACGCUCGCCUGGGCGAGGGCGAGCCUCGACGAGGACUCCCCUCGCCAGAUCUAGCGAGGCCGACCCUUGCCAGGGCCAGGGCUGGGCUCCCCCGGCAUCGCCCUCGCCCGGCCGGGCCUCGCCUGUGGCGGGCAAGGCCAGCCGUCGCUUGUGGCCAGUGGCCGGCCAUCGGAAAAGGGCAAGGAAAAAGCCAAAAAUAAAAAUAAAAAAAAAAGAAGAAGGAAAAAACAGAAAAUUUUUAAAAAAUAAAAAAUAUAUAUUAAAAUAUUAUUAAAAAUUGUUCACAUCAGCGCCGGCAGUCUUACAUGGCACCGCCCGCAUCCACGUCAGCAUUUUCCAAUCAAAAUUGGCCGGAUUAACUCAAUUGGCAAACUGACAAAAGGUUUAGAACUCAAUCGGCAAGAUUGAAAGGUUUAUGACUGAAUUGACAAAAGUGUAAUAGAUUUAGGACUUUUUUGACAAUUCUCCUCACUUAGGGGAGACAAUAAUUGCUCAUUUUUUCCCAAGACACAGAAAGGAAGCUCCAUAAAUUAAUAAGUAAACAGUAAACUUCUGAAAGAGAGGUCCUUGUGUGCCUCGAACGUGUUUCUUCCUCAGGAGAUCAAAAACAUAGAGACCCAUCCAAUCGUGUCAUCCAAACGCACCGAUCUCCUUAAUUCUCCAUUUUAGUAAUUAAUACUUGAGACUUAACUACUAGUUCAUAGAUCAAAAUAAAAAGCCAAGAUUCAAUAUUAAUUGAUUGAUAUUUCGAUUUACUUUCCAAUCCCAAUUUAUACCACUAAACUAGUUUUCCAUUGAGCAUGACUUUAUCAUUCCCCCGCGGGGCGGGGCGGGGCGGGGAGGGAGAGAGAGUUAAGUUAGAUUAAUGCAUAUACAAAGUUUACCAGGAAAUCUCUCGAUCUUGUACUCUUCUGAGACCCCAAUGACUGAGAUUGAGGCACUCUUGUACCACGAUUCUUCUUGGCUGAAGGAGUCCUCACAUCUUUUACCAAGAUAAAAUCAUCCACAGCUGAUGACCAAUUAUCUCUCACAUUCCCAAGACCUUGAUGUUUUGAUUGAUGCUUCCUCUGCAUACCAUACUCCGUGGAAGCAUCCUAGAGAGCAAUUCCACACAAUUUUUUCAUCGUUUCAUCCAAAUCACUACUAGAAGAAUCGUCUGAAUCAUCUGACGAAGAAGAAACCUACUGUAACAAAAUUUUUGCAUCUAAAAGAGAAUCGCUCCCACCAAUUCCUUUCAAAUAAUCUUAAGCAAUUUCAUCAUCGACAUCUGAACCACUAUCAGACAUGUCCUCGGAGUCAUCACUUUCAGAAGAAUCUGUUGCUCCAUCCUGCUCAACCGACUCCGACUCCGAGUCUUCCUCAUCACCAUAUUCCGCAACAUCAUCCUCACUAUCUUCCUCAUCGUUUCUCCUCAAAUUCGAUCUCCUCUUGCCUCCAGCCAUGUCCGAGCUCGCGAAUCAACUUCGAUUGUCGGACCAAAAAAAAAAAAAAGAAAUCAACUUGGAUUGAAUUUUCUGACCAAAUUGAUCGAUCGAUUGAGAUCGAUUUGGGGGCGAUGACGAGAGAAAGGGAUCACCUCCUCCCGCGUGUGGUUUCCUUGCCUUGGGGGAAGCGGUCGCAUCUGGACCGUUGGAGAUUCACCAUGGGUCGCAAGGGGACUCGUGGAUGGCUGUGAUGCGGCGGCGGGAGCUUGGGGAUGUCAUAUUCCGCUACGGAAACGGCUGUGGCGGGGGCUCUUUCUCUUUGGGAAUAUGCGAGAAUCGAUACCAUCGGCCAAUCGGCAUGGCCUUUUGGGAUUAUCGUGGACAACUAGUCUAGCUAGGCGGAGUUCGAUCUUGAUACAACACUAAUAUAAUUGGACAACUUCACUGGUUGCUUUAUAUAAGUUUGUUGUGUUUGGAAGGCUGAAGAUGUCCUUGGGGACAAUCCUUGAUCAGCGCAUCAUGAUGGAAAAUCAUAAGAAAAAUUCGAGUCCUCACAGUAGCAAAUUACAUUAUUAAUUUGGUUUGCUCUCCAAUUUGCAUUAGCCUCAUAGACUAUAUGUGCAAUGGAAGAUUCAGUGUGGAAGAGAAAUUGUUUCGAGAAGGUGAACGAGGGACUGUAUUUUUUGUUGGCAAUUUGGUUGCAAUUUGGCAAUUUGGCUUACUUUCCAUGUGUGCAGAUCGCGUGACUUUUGAGGUCAAAGGCCACAGGUAUUCGUGCUGCCUUUGAGCUUGUGGCCAUGGCCUUGAGUGCGACGUUCAAGCUCUAAUAGUUAACAUUGGUGUGGUGGAGGAUAAAGGGAUGGGGGAGAAAAAUGUGGUGGGAGCGGGGGAGUUGGUUCUCUCUUUUUCUUUGGGUCUAAGGGUUUGUUUGUCGUUUUAACUGGGGCCUUUCUCUUAAAAUGCAUAUUGUGCAUUUUCAAAAGUGGGGAUGGUUUUUCCAAGAUUCUCUAUAUUUUUUCCUCCUUUCUUUUUUUGUGGAAAAAAUGCCAUGAUACCUUACUUAUAUGUUAUUUGAUAUAAUAAUUCUCUUUUACACGUUAAACUUGCUUCUACAUAUUUCAGGUAAUCUAUAAGGUCGAUGUUAUAUGAUGUGUAACUUUAUCACAAUCCCUCCUCUGGAGCUAAGCUCCUAGCAUAAUGUUAGAAUGUCAUUUUGCGUAGAUAAGACUAGCAAAAGUAGUCAUGAAAAUGCAAAUUUGACCGUCAAUUUAACUAUCCCAUGAGACACUCCAGCAUAAGUGAACUUUUAUUAAAGUUAGAAAUCGAUAAAAGUUAGAAAUCGAUAACCUAACCAAAUUGCGGGUGAGCCAUUAACCUAUGACUCUGAUGGACAUUUAGUCCUUCAUGUUAUAUUGUCAAGCAAGAGGAGUUUUAUGUCUCAAAUGAUUUCCAAUUGGACCGAGUGAUAUACAGAGAUGAAAAUUUUCAUUCGAAAAUGAAAGCAAAUGUGCUAUGGCAAAAAUAACAAAGGUGAGAAGAGACAGCUAUGAUUUUCUAGUAUCGUUAAUUAUCAAUAGUAGCAUGAUCACCUAACCAAAUAGAGAUAAGCUAGCAACUACAUAAAAAUCACCUUUUUGAAAGAGCGAAGGAUCACGCCAUGUAUGUCUUCAAGGAAAUUAGAACAAGACCUUAUUCAACUGUGAAGGUGAAAACUUACAUUAACGUAAUGUCGAUCAAUGACAAUAACAAAUAACAGGAAAAAAACCCAAUCCUGCCAUUACCUGGAAAUGCAUAAUGAGAGAACCUAAAUUGUUUGGCCACUGGACAAUUUUCGAAAACCAUCUUGCACAAGAUAGUAGAAUGUGAUGAACAAGCUCUGACAUGUGGUGAUAAUCAGUUCCACAUAAUGAAACCAUCCCUGUUGCCAGUGGGGGUUGAUGAACAGAACAAUCGGAAUUACUAGUAAAACCGUUGUGUAUGACACUCCGAAGCUGAUAUAGAAUGUCUCUCCAUCUAUGAAACCAUCUUCUUUAGCUUUCUUGUGUGAUUUUGUUGCUGAGCAAUUAACAUUAAUGGUUGUCGAACAGUCAUUACUCAAUGGUAGACCACAUAGAAGAUGGUUUCCGUAGUAACUGCUUUCAUCGAAUGACCCAAAUUGAUUUUUGUUUGGUAUGGCUCCUGACAAGUCGUUGUAAGACACAUUGAAGACUCCCAAAAAAUUUAACCGAGUGAGCUCUUCAGGGAUAGAACCAAUCAAGUUGUUGUAGGAAAGGUCAAUGCUCUCUAUCUGUGUGAGGUUUGACAAUGACAUUGGUAUAUGUCCUGUAAGCUUGUUGUGCGACAGAUUCAACACAACUAUGUCUUGUGAGAAUGCAAUCUCUGGUGGGAUCUCCCCGCUAAAUUGGUUGCAAGAAAAAUCUAGUCCUACCAUGUUAAGGAGUGCGUAGCCUUUAUAAGCAUCAAAUCUUCUUUUUACUGUGAACCCAACAAUAUGUGGAAUUUGCCAUGCUUCAUCUCCCAUAAAUUUAUAGUGGUAGAACUCCUUAUUAAAGGACCAGUGGCUUCUAAUUGUCCUCACAUUAGACAAAGGUGACAAUUUGUAACGUCUCUCUUCGAAACGCGGUAUUAAAUCUACCUUAUCAGGAUAUCCUGUAGAGGAGAAAUUUAUGGGUCCCAAGCAAAUAGGUAAUGGACCAAACAGAUUGUUUUCAAAAAGAUCGAUCAUACUUAAGCUUUUUAUUUUGCACAAUUUCUUGGGAAAUGUUCAGUAGAAGCUAUUACCUCUCAGUAAAAGAUGCUUAAUUGAGAGAGGUUACCUAGCCAAUAGGGUAUGCUUCCCAAGAACUCAUUUUCACUCAAAUCCAAGGUCACCAAAUUGGAGCUGUUGGGGAGCAAAUGCAUGAUUAAACCAUUCAAUUUGUUCCCAUUCAGAUGGAUAUGUCUCAACUUCGGUGUUAUGAAAGAUGAUGGUAAUGAAUCAGAGAGAUUGUUGUCAGACAAAGCCAAAUACUCGAGGUCAGGAAGAUUAAAGAGUCCUUGAGGGAUGAGGCCAUUUAGCUUAUUUUUGGAAAAGUCAAGGAGCCUAAGCCUUGACAUGUUUGCAAUCACUCUGGGAAGCUUACCAAUGAAAAAGUUGUUGCUAACGUCCAAUUGGAACGGAUAUACGAGUGAUGAAAGAAAAGAGAGAUCUCCAGUGAACAUGUUGUUCUCUAAGUGUAGGCAUAACCAAUUUAGGUUCUUGGUGUCAUCGGAAAACACAAUUUCUCCUUGCAAGUUGUUAUAUGCUACGUUGAGUUUAUACAAUGAUGAGUUGCUAUCUAGUAACUGGAUAGGUAGUCUCCCGGAGAAAUUGUUGUGGGAAAGGUCUAAGGAAUUUAGGGAUUUUAUACUACCUAGUCUAGAUGGAAUAUUCCCUUCCAAUCUGUUGGCUGAUAUAUUAAGGUGGGACAAAUUUGGGAAAUUUAAACAAAAUUCGGUUGUGAGCUCUCCUCUCAUGCCGUUGUUGGACAUGUCCAUCACCGAAAGAUUACGAAGGGUCAUUAGUGGAACCUCAAGUGUCACAAAUGAGUUAUUUGCCAUAAGAAUGUUUUCCAACUUAGUGUUGUUUUCCAACAACCAAGCUGGAAAGGGACCCGCAAUGUCAUUCGAGGAGAGAUCAAUGGUUCUCAGGUCAUAUUGAUGAUUGAGAAAGCCAAGAGAAGUUACUUUGAAUCCUUUCGAUAGACUAUUUGACAUACUAAAGUCCUUCAAUUGGAACCUCAAGAUCGAAGACGCAACUUUGGAAUCAAUUGUUAGUUUGUUGUCAUCAAGCAAGAGGACCUUAAGUCUUGAAUAGUUUGCAAGUGGGCUGAGUGACGAGGGGAUAUCAAAAUAAUUACCCGAAAUGGACAGCAAUUCGAGUGAGGUAAGACUAGUGAGGGGAGAUGAGGCGACAUUAUCUGUGAAUUCAUUGUCUUCAAGAAAUAGAACCCGAAUAGAUGUCAUGUUUCGCCAACAUGUAGGAAGCCCGCCAGUAAUUCCAUUAUUGCUAAGAUCCAGCUCUUCUAGUUUUACGAGGUUACACAAGCCUGUUAUUGAUAUCACAAGUCAAUUCAAUUACAAUGGUAGACAUCGGAAUGUAUAACAAGGGUAUAACAAGGACAUACACGCACAUGAAGGAUUCAUUUUAUGUCCCAAUUUUACUCUGAGAGGUUAGGACUUACUCUGACCUGAUAGUUUGCCAUUAAGACCGGUGCUGUAUGAGGACAGCAACCUAAGAGAUGUCAAAGGACCAAGGCUGGAAAGGAUGCCCAUGGUGGUGUUCAACGAAGAAUAAUCCAAGAUGAGCUGUUCCAACUUACUGAAGUUAUGGAAAUCUUCCCAGAAAACAAAAGAUUAUUGAACAUCAGAUUUCCUUGCACAUACAUAAUCAAGAAAUGGCAUAGAAAUAUCAUGAGUGAAUGGAAUAUUUUAAUAAAAACUUAGGCUCUGUUGGUUCGCGGAAAAUAUGACAUUUCCGGAAAAUGUUUUCCAAGGAGUAAUUUUUUUAGAAAAAUGACAAUAUUUUCUGAUUGUAGGUUGAAAUCUGAAAAUGAACUAGAAAAUAUUUUCCAUCGUUUGGUAUGGAAAAUCUAAUUUGAUUUUCAUCUGUGUACUCCUUCCAAUAAUAUUUUAUUUUUAUUCUAAAAAAAGAAUUUUUAAUUAUUAUUUUUUCUUUUUUCUUUUUUCCUUCUUGUUCAGUUGAUCACCAGACACAGGUGACGUCAAGAUUGCUCAAGACAAACGAGCUUGAGCCUUGUUAGAUUGGCGAAGCCUCGGCCUUUAGCAAGCUUGUCCUUCACCUGUGAUCAGUCGCUGGUAGUCGUCAUAGUUGGCGAUCGAAUGAGGAAGAAGGAAAAGUAAUAAGAAGGAAAAAAGAAAGAAAGAAAUUAAAUAUUUGAUUUAUUAAAAAUGAAAACAAGAAAAAAAUAAUUAAAAAGAGUGCAUGGAGGAAAAUAGGUUUAGGUGAAAGAAAGAGAAUGGAAAAAUGAUUUCCUCAUUUUCCCCACUUUUGAAAAUGCGUUUUCCAUUGUAGGAAAAUAUUUUCCUUCACUUAAUUAUUUUCCGUAACCUAAAUGCUAGAAAAUCUGAAAAACAUUCUCUUAAAAAUUGUCUUCCGCAAAACGAACGGAGCGUUAUCAUGAGCAUACAUUUAUUAAUGGGUUUGACUAACCUUGAGUAGUAAUAGUUCCUUCUAUUGUAUUAUACUGGAGAGAAAGGAUCUUGAGGGAUGACAAUGCCCCUAAUGCUCGCACGACGGUCCCCACAUCCUUCAAGUGGACACCAUCUAGGUAGAGGUUCUCUAAGUGGCUCAAGUUUUUGAUGCCUACCAAUAAAAUUCCAAGAAAAUAACUUGCUUGGCAAUAAAGUUGUGAAAGCACCCACGCGGAUGCUUUGCGACAGGAAUCUUUUGAAUUAGGCAACAUUUCUAUAUGGAAAGAGAAGGGGGUCCCAAUUUAUGACUUCUAUAUUCUCAAUAUGAUGCACAUGUAAAGCUAUAAGAGAUACUGCAUGAAAACUGAAACAAUACCUUCAACAAUUGCUGCUAUAAUGACUGCAUUACAACUUAUGUCUAGCUCCUUCAAAUUAUUGAAACAGCCUAAUUUAUCCAUGAACCUUGCUAACUCAAGUCAAACAUGGUGAUUUUGUCCCGAAUUAUGAACAGAGAAUAAGUUGGAGAAACUAUCAUUCACAUUUAAAGUCUCAUUCAAAUGUUGUUUUGGAGAAUAGACACAUGAGAGUCAUAAUUGUACCACAAAUAGGUAGAAUAGAAUUAUCCAAAGAAAAUAAUGAAAACACCCACGCGGAUGUCUGGGAAUAGGAAUCUUUUGAAUCAGCAACAUUUCUAUAUGGAAAGAGAAGAGAUGACUUCUAUAGUCUUAAUAUGAAUCACAUGUAAAGGUAUUAAAGAGCAUGCAUGAAUCGUAGUCUAGUUAGUUUAAUUUAUGAAUACAAACGAGGAUUCUACAUGAAAAUUGAAACAAUACCUUCAGUAAUAGCUGCUACAUCAACUGGAUUAUCACUUAUGUCCAGCUCCUUUAAAUUACUGAAACCACCUAAUUUAUCCACAAGCAUUGCUAACUCAAGUCAAGGAUGGUGAUUUUGUAUAAAAUUAUGAAUAGAGAAUAAGAUGGAGAAACUAUCAUUCACAUGUGAAGUCCCAUUCAAAUGUUGUUUUGAAGCAUAGACACCUAAGAGUCGGAAUUGUACUGUGAACGGGUAAAAUAGAAUUAUCUAGAGUAAAUAAUGAAGCACCCACACAUAUACCUUGGGAUAGGAAUCUUUUGAAUUAGUAACAUUUCUAUAUGGAAAGAGAAAGGGUUUGCAAUAUAUGACUUCUUUAUUCUUAAUAUGAAGCACACAUAUAGGUAUUAAAGAGCCCGCCUACAUGACUGACAAGCUAGUUAGUUUAAUUUACGAAUAAAAAUGAGGUUCCUACAUGAAAACUAAAACAGUACCUUCAGCAAUAGCCACUACAUCAACUGCGUUAUCACUUAUGUCCAGCUCCAUUAAAUUGCUAAAACCACCUAAUUUUUCCACAAACAAUGUUAACUCAUGUCAAGGAUGGCGACUUUGUACUGAAUUAUAAGCAGAGAAUAAGUCGGAGAAAUUUACCAUUCACAUGUAAAGUCCCGCUCAAAUUAUUGUAUAUGAGGAAUAGAUGCCGGAGAGAUGGAAUUGUACUAAGAAUGGAUAGAAUAGAAUGAUCCAGAAAGUUAUCGCUCAAGUCAAGCACCUCUAGUUUGCUUAGCCUUGAAGAUAGCAAGUUUGGUUCUACAAACAAACAAUAAAAAACAGUAAAAGCUGCAGAAAUCUAUUCAAGAACACGUGCAACAAAUAGAUAUUGCCAUUUCAAGGGGAAAUAUGUCAUAGACUUGUGAAUAAAUGAUGACGUGGACAUAAUCAUCUAUGAUGCAGGAAGUGAGUAAGAACCUAAACGUGAUUAACUUAUGAGUUCAUUAGAUAAUGAGUAUCUCUUUUUUAUAGGAAAUGGACGAACGGUGAAUUUAUACCUUCUGGUGCAAUCCACCCUCCUAAAUAGUUGGAGGACAAGUUAAGGCUCUUGAGUUCUUCAAAGGGAAUAAGUAGAGAAGCGUUUAGAUACCAAANNNNNNNNNNNNNNNNNNNNNNNNNNNNNNNNNNNNNNNNNNNNNNNNNNNNNNNNNNNNNNNNNNNNNNNNNNNNNNNNNNNNNNNNNNNNNNNNNNNNAGCUGAGCGACUCGUCCUGUGGUGGGGUUGCACUCAACACCUUGCCAGUUGCAACAAUUGAAAUAUGAUCCCCCGGCGUCCACCCCAUAUGGCAAGUUCAAUGUGGCAUUGAGCGCUAAGAGGGCAACCCUUUCUUGCUCCCGACACCCAUGAGAGCCACAUAAACAUGCAAUACCCCAAACCACCACAAACACCCACAGUGCUUCCUUUUUCAUGACUGCAGAUUCGAGUGACCAAACUUUAUAUGAAUUGCACUUUGGAGAUAACAUCCUUUUUGCAAGUUAGAGAAAUUUUAUAGGAGUUCAACGGCGCCUGUGCUUGAGUGUGAAACUUGUGGUCAUGGCCAAAGUCUUGGUCAUAAUUUUUCCACGCGCUUUCUUUUGUACAACCAAUAAGAAAAUCCCAAGUAGGUGUUUAAAGUCCACCGAAAAUUUGACUGCAAGAGUUCAUUGUACUUGCUAUUGGGGCCCUUGGCAGUUGUCAACAAAAAAAAUUUCUCCAUCAAUGUUUAACGAGGCGGAGUCUACAUGCCCAAACCUCCCAAAUUGAGCUUGUAUCUUUUUCUUACCUAACGUUUGAGCAAUAUCGUCUCAAAUCUUUUACAUUGAAGGUCUAGAUGUAAUUGUGAAUAUAUCCAACCAAAUGAAAGAAACUCUCAAAUAUAAACGUCAUUCACAAAAAGAUUUUUUGGAUUUCUUUCUUAUCCAAUUUGGGUUCAUCGAGUUAGGUUCACUUGGAAAAUGCCCUCCAUUAAUGCGAGAUCAAUGCAUAUGAGCCAUUAGAUCUUGUGCAUCUCACAUUGUCUCAUAAAAUUCACCGGUGAAAAUGCAUCAGGCUCACAUAAUUGUAGCUCUUCGGGAUUGUUGUAAUUGAUUGGAGCGCUUAGCGAUUUCUAGCUCGAGAAGUUGGGAAUCACCCAUUGAUCCCACUAUUUUCAUGCAAACUGGCCUUCUACACCAAUCAACUUUUUUGUAUUUAAUCAGUCUAUUGGACUUGCAGGGCAUUUCGAAAAACUUUCAGAUAACCCAGUCUUCACGGUCCGAGCCAUCAAGUAUAAAACAAAAGGCGUUAGUGCGGGAUUUCUGCCCACUCCAAAAACAAUUGUUCGGAGAGUGUACGGGUCAAAUGUGGUGAACUCGUGCGUGUCUACCCGGAAUUCCAUUACGCGCCUAAUCCCUCUUCCCGAAAGUGGAAGACCCCCCCGCCCCUUGCUUGGGUGGUGGGGCCCCCCACGAUUGUAAAAAUAAAAAGUCUCGCGAGUGCGAGGGAGGGGAAGAAGAAGGGGUAGGGUUGCUGUGAGUUUGACGCGUGUACAGUCGCGCGUGGGGGCCCCACCCGGGUGGGGUGAGGGUCCCGCCUCCCCAGCAAAAAGUCCAAAUCCCUUAUUUAUUGCGCGACUUCUGUAGAGAGGGAGGACCAUGGCGGAGGAGGUGUGAUGAGAUGGAAACUGGGGUUCCGAUUUGGAUUUUAGCAAUUCUCAAAUUCAAGAAAAGCUCGCUCUCCUUAGUUUCUUCAUCAAUUUUAAUGAACAAAGUUCAUUUCGGACGUCUCCGAAAAGACGCCCUUUUACGUAUUUUAAAUAAAUGACGCGAAGGUAUUUUUUAAUCCAAUUUUUCAAAAAAAAAAAGAGUAAGGGGAAAUUGAAAAGCACAUUAGGCUAGGCGUGCAAUUUCGAUAUUUUUGUCACGUAUUAAAUAUUUUAUAGUACUUCCUUUAUCUCCUAAAGAGUACUUAAAGUGCAGAUAAAGCGACCAUUGCAAGACCCGUGCCUUUCGGGGGCAGACGACUUUGGAUUUUACACCAUCAUCUGUCAAGAGAAGAACUUUGAUGUUUUGAUUGACGCUUCCUCUGCAUACCAUACUCCGUGGAAGCAUCCUGGAGAGAAAUUCCACCCAAUUUUUUCAUUGUUUCAUCCAAAUCACAACUAGAAGAAUCGUCUGAAUCAUCUGACGAAGAAGAAACCUGCUGUAACAAAUUUUUAGCAUCUAAAAGGGAAUCGCUCCCACCGAUUCCUUCCAAAUAAUCUUGAGCAAUUUCAUCAUCAACAUCUGAACCACUAUCAGACAUGUCCUCAGAGUCAUCACAUUCAAAAGAAUCUGUCGCUCCAUCCUGCUCAGCCGACUCCGACUCUGAGUCUUCCUCAUCACCAUAUGCUGCAACAUCAUCCUCACCAUCUUCCUCAUUGGAUAUAUCUUCCGUAUAUAUUUUCAAUCCCCCAAUUGAUACAAACCCAGAAUUUUUCUUCGCGGAUGUAUCCUUUGACAAAAGCUGAGCCCCCUUUUCAGCUGCUCCAGAGUCAAAGCUCUCACGAUAAUCCACUUCCUGCUCAGGCGAUGAAAUGCAACUCUGUGACUCUCCUUGAUUUUCCAUUUUCCCUGAUGAUGCUUCGAUUCCCAUUGGAGCUGCAUCGUAUUCAUUACAAUCACCCAAUCCUCUGUGUGAGCUAUCACUAAGAACAAAAUCUGAGUGAUACUCAUAACUGAUAUUUGCUUGAUCCACUGACGAUGGCCCUUCAUCUACAUAAGCAACAAUUUGGCUGUCCUUCGAACCACGCAGAAUGAAAGGCUGAGAAAAUUCCAUUUUAUUCUCUCCAUUUGUAUCUCCGAACGUCGAUACUGGAUGAACACAAGUGAGAGACUGAGAUCAGCUGAUCCGCCGCCGCCGCUGUUUAUUCUCGAAUUCGAUCUCCUCUUGCCUUGGGGGAAGUGGUCGCAUCUGGACCGUUGGUGAUUCGCCGUGGGACGCAAGGGGACUCGUGGACGGCUGUGAUGUGGCGGCCGGAGCUUGGGGUUAGCUGAGUCGAUUUGCCUUCUUGAGUUCCUAAACCCCCAUUUUUCUUUAACAAAGUCUUUUGGUACUUAGACAUUAAUUAAAGAAGAUAAGAUGAGAGAAUGAUCAUUGAAUUUUUGCUUAUCCAAUAUGAUUUAUUCGCUGAUACAUGAAAGAUCUCUAAGUAGAAACAGUUUCUUUAUUAGUGGAAUGAAGUUGGAUUGCACGGAAACUAGCUUUCCUAGAUGCUCAUUUCUUUUUAUUGGAGAUACCACACCGUUAUAAUUGCAGGGAAACUAGCUUUCCUAGAUGCUCAUUUCUUUUCACCGGUUGCUUUAUAUAACUUUGUCAUGUUUGGGAGGCUGAAGAUGUCCUUGGGACAAUCCUCGCUUUACAUUUUGAAGAUAAGCGCAUCAUGAUGCAAAAUCAUAAAAAAAAAUUCGAGUUCUCACAGCAGCAAAUUACACUUUUAAUUUGGUUUGCUCUCCAAUUUGCAUUAGCCUCACAAACUAGAUGUGCAGCAUAAGAUUCAGUGUGGAAGAGAGAUUGUUUCGAGAAGGUGAACGAGGGAUUAUAUUUUUUGUUGGCAAUUUGGUUGCAAUUUAGCUACCUACUUUGGUAAUUUGGCUUACUCUCCAUGUCAGUAGAUCGCGUGACUUUUGAGGUGAAAGGCCACAGGCACUCGUGCUGCCCUUGAGCUUGUGGCCAUGACCUUGAGUGCAAUGUUCAAGCUCUAACAGUUAACAUCGGUGUGGUGGAAGAUAGAGGGAUGAGGGAGAAAAAUGUGGUGGGGAUGGGGGGUUGUUUCUCUCUUUUUCUUUGGGUCAAAGGAUUUGUUUGUCUUUUCAACUGGGGUCUUUCUCUCAAAAUGCAUAUUCUGCAUUCUCAAAAGCGGGGACGGUUUUUCCAAGGUUCUCUAAAUUUGUUUCCUCUCUUUCUUUUUCUUUUUUUGGUGAAAACAUGGGCAUGAUACCUUACUUAUACGUUAUUUGAUAUAAUAAUUAUCUUUUGCAUGUUAAACUUGCUUCUACAUAUUUCAAGUAAUCUAUAAGGUCGAUGUUAUAUGAUGUGUAGCUUUAUCACAAUCCCUCCUCUAGAGCUAAGCUCCUAGCAUAAUGUUAGAAUGUCAUUCCGUGCAGAUAGGAUAGCAAAAGUAGUCAUGAAAAUGCAAGUUUGAUCGUGAAUUUAACUAUCCCAUGAGACACUCCAGCAUAAGUGAACCCUCAUUAAUGUUGGAAAUCGAUGUCCUAACUAAAUUGUGGAUGAGCCAUUAACCUAUGACUUUGAUGAACAUGUAGUCCUUCAUGUUAUAUCGUCAAGCAAGAGGAGUUUUAUGUCUCAAAUGAUUUCCAAAUGGACCGAGUGAUAUACAGAGAUGAAAAUUUUCAUUUGGAAAUGAAAGCAAAUGUGCUAUGGAAAAAAUAACAAAGGUGAGAAGAGACAGCUGUGUUUUUCUAGUAUCGUUUAUUAUCACUAGUAGCGUGAUCACCUAACCAAAUAGAGAUGAGCUAGCAACUACAUAAAAACCACCUUCUCGAAAGAGCGAAGGAUCACGCCAUGUAUUGUCUUCAAGGAAACUAGAACAAGACCUUAUUAAGUUGUGAAGGUGAAAACUUACAUUAAUGUAAUGCUAAUCAAUGACAAUAACAAAUAACAGGAAAAAAAAAAACCCAAUCCUACCAUUACCCGGAAAUGCAGAAUGAGAGAACCUAAAUUGUUCGGCCACUAAACAAUUUUCAAAAACCAUCCUGCACGAAAUAGUAGCAUGUGAUGAACAAGCUCUUACAUGUGGUGAUAACCAGUUCCACAUAAUAAAACCAUCCCUGCCGCCAUUGGGGGUUGAUGAACAGAACAACUGGAAUUACUAGUAAAACCGUCGUGUAUGACACUCCGAAGCUGAUAUAAAAUGUCUCUCCAUCUAUGAAACCAUCUUCUUUAGCUUUCCCGCAUGAUUUUGUUGCUGAGCAAUUUACGUUAAUGGUUGUUGAACAGUCAUUACUCAACGGCAGUCCACAUAGAAGAUGGUUUCCGUAGUAACUGCUUUCAUCGAAUGACCCAAACUGAUUUUUGUUUGGUAUGGCUCCUGACAAGUCGUUGUAAGACACAUUGAAGACUCCCAGAAAAUUCAACUGAGUAAGCUCUUCAGGGAUAGAACCAAUUAAGUUGUUGUAGGAAAGGUCAAUGCUCUCUAUCUUUGUGAGGUUCGACAAUGACAUCGGUAUGUGUCCUAUAAGCUUGUUGUGCGACAAAUUCAGCACAAGCAUGUCCUGUGAGAUUGCAAUAUCUGGUGGGAUCUCCCCACUGAAAUGGUUGCAAGAAAAAUCUAGUCCUACCAUGUUAAGGAGUGCAUAGCCUUUAUAAGCAUCAAACCUUCUUUUUGUUGUGAACUCAACAAUAUGUAGAAAUUGCCAUUCUUGUUCUACCAGUGAUUUAUAGUGGUAGAACUCGAUCUGGCUUCUAAUUGACCUCACAUAAGACCAAAGUGACAAUUCUUCAACUCCAGCUCCGAAAAACCCAAGCGGUAAUGAAGUUACCUUAUUGGCAUAUCCUCCAGAGGAGAAAUUCAUGGGUCCCAAGCAACUAGGGUAAUGGACCAAACAUAUUGUUUUCAGAAAGAUCGAUCAUACUUAAGCUUUUCAAUCUGCACAAUUGCUCGGGGAAAUGUUUCCAUAGAAGCUAUUACCUCUCAGUGAAAGAAUGCUUAAUUGAGAGAGGGUACCUAGCCAAUAGGGUAUGCUUCCGAAGAACUCAUUUUCACUCAAAUCCAAGGUCACCAAAUUGGAGCUGUUAGAGAGCACAUGCAUGAUUGAACCAUUCAAUUUGUUCCCAUUAAGAUGGAUGUGACUCAACGCGGGUGCUAUGAAAGAUGAUGCUAAUAAACCGGAGAGAUUGUUGUCAGACAAAGCCAAAUACUUGAGCUGACUAAGAUUAAAGAGUUCUUGAGGGAUGAGGCCAUUUAACUGAUUUUGGGACAAGUCAAGGAACACAAGCAAUGAUGUGUUCGCAAUCAAUCUGGGAAGCUUGCCAAUGAAAAAGUUGUUGCUACCGUCCAAUAACAACAAAUUUAAGAGUGAUGAAAGAAAAGAGAGAUCUCCAGUGAACAUGUUGUGCUCUAACUGUAGACAUAGGAAAUUUAGGUUCACAGUGUUAUUAGAAAACACGAUUUCUCCGUGCAAGUUGUUAUAUGCUACGUUGAGGUUAUGCAAUGAUGAGCUGUUAUCUAGUAACUUGAUAGGCAGUCCCCCAGAGAAAUUGUUGUGAGAAAGGUCCAAGAAAAAUAGGGAUUUUAUACUAGCCAAUUCAUAUGGAAUAUUCCCUUCCAAUCUGUUGGUUGAUAGAUUAAGGUGGUACAUAUUUGGGAUGUUUAAACAAAAUUUGGUUGUGAGCUCUCCUCCCAUGCCGUUGUUGGAUAUGUCCAUCAUCAAAAGAUUAUGAAGGGUCAUCAGUGGAACCUCAAGUGUCGCAAAUAAGUUAUUUGCCAUAAAAAGCUUUUCCAACUUAGUGUUGUUUUCCAACAACCAAGCUGGAAAAGGACCCAGAAUGUCAUUCGAGGAGAGAUCAAUGGUUCUCAGGUCAUAUUGAUGAUUGAGAAAGCCAAGAGAAGUCACUUUGAAGCCUUUCGAUAGACUAUUUGACAUACUAAAAACCUUCAAUUGGAGCCUCGGGAUCGAAGACGCAACUUUGGAAUCAAUUGUUAGUUUAUUGUCAUCAAGCAAGAGGACCUUAAGUCUUGAAUAGUUUGCAAGUGGGCCGAGUGACGAGGGGAUAUCAAAAUAAUUACCCGAAAUGGAAAGCAAUUCGAGUGAGGUAAGACUAGUGAGGGGAGAUGAGGCGACAUUAUCUGUGAAUUCAUUGUCUUCAAGAAAUAGAACCCGAAUAGAUGUCAUGUUUCGCCAGCACGUAGGAAGCCCGCCAGUAAUUCUGUUAAUGCUAAGAUCCAGCUCUUCUAGUUUUACGAGGUUACACAAGCCUGUUAUUGAUAUCACAAGUCAAUUCAAUUACAGUGGUAGAUAUCGAAACACAUAACAAGGACAUACACAUACAUGAAGGAUUCAUUUUAUGUCCAAUUUUUACUCCGAGAGAUCAGGACUUACUCUGAUAUGAUAGUUUGCCAUUAAGACCGGUGUUGUAUAAGGACAACAAUCUAAGAGAUGUCAAAGGACCAAGGCUGGAAAGGAUUCCCAUGGUGGUGUUCAACGAAGAAUAAUCCAAGAUGAGCCAUUCCAACUUACUGAAGUUGUGGAAAUCUUCUCAAAAAAUGAAAGAUUAUUGAACAUUAGAUUUACUUACACAAAUAUAAUCAAGAAAUGGCAUAGAAAUAUCAUGAGUGAAUGGAACUUUUUUUAUAAAAACUUAGGCUCUGUUUGUUUCGUGGAAAAUAUGACGUUUCUUGAAAAUGUUUUGUAAGAAGUCAUUUUUAAGGAAAAUGACAAUAUUUUCCGAUAUUCGGCUGAAAUUUGAAAAUAAACUAGAAAAUAUUUUUCACCGUUUGGUAUGGUAAAUCUGAUUUGAUUUUCAUUCAUGUACUCCUUUCAAUAAUAUUAUAUUUUUUAUUUUAAAAAAUAGAAUUUUAAAUUUUUUUUCUUUUUUCUUUUUCUUUUUUUCCUUCUUGUUCAGUUGAUCACCGGCCACAAGUGACGUCAAGAUUGCCCGAAGCAGACGAGCUCAAGCCUUGUCAGAUUAUCGAAGCCUUGGCCUUCAGUGAGCUUGUCCCUCGUAUGUGGUUGGUUUGGCGAUCAAAUGAAGAAGAAGGAAGAAAGAAAGAAAGAAAUUAAAUAUUUGAUUUUUAAAAAAAUGAAAAAAGAAAAAAUAAUUAAAAAGAGUGCAUGGAGGAAAAUAGGUUUAGGUGAAAGAAAGAGAAUGGAAAAUGAUUUCUUCAUUUUCCCCACUUUUGAAAAUGCCUUUUCCAUUGUAGGAAAAUAUUUUCCUUCACUUAAUUAUUUUCCGUAACCUGAAUGCUGGAAAAUCUGAAAAACAUUUUCUUAAAAAUUGUUUUCCGCAAAACGAACGGAGCGUUAUCAUGAGCAUACAUUUAUUAAUGGGUUUGACUAACCUUGAGUAGUAAUAGUUCCUUCUAUUGUAUUAUACUGGAGAGAAAGGAUCUUGAGGGAUGACAGUGCCCCUAAUGCUCGCACAACGGUCCCCACAUCCUUCAAGUGGACAUCAUCUAGGUAGAGGUUCUCUAAGUGGCUCAAGUUUUUGAUGCCUACCAAUAAAAUUCUAAGUAAAUAACUUGCUUGUCAAUAAAGUUGUGAAAGCACCCAUGCGGAUGCUUCGGGAUAGGAAUCUUUUGAAUCGGGCAACAUUUCUAUAUGGAAAGAGAAAGGGGUCCCAAUUUAUGACUUCUAUAUUAUCAAUAUGAUGCACAUGUAAAGGUAUGAGAGACACUGCAUAAAGAAACAGUACCUUUAGUAGUGGCCGCAACAUGGACUGCAUUAUAACUUAUGUCUAGCUCCUUUAAAUUAUUGAAACAACCUAAUUUAUCGACAAACCUUGCUAACUCAAGUCGAGGAUGGUGAUUUUGUCCGGAAUUAUGAACAGAGAAUAAGUUGGAGAAACUAUCAUUCACAUUUAAAGUCCCAUUCAAAUGUUGUUUUGGAGAAUAGACACAUGAGAGUCGGAAUUGUACCGUGAACGGGUAGAAUAGAAUUAUCUAUAGAAAAUAAUGAAAACACCCAUGCGGAUGUCUAGGUAUAGGAACCUUUUGAAUCAGCAACAUUUCUAUAUGGAAAGAGAAGGGAUGACUUAUAUAUUCUUAAUAUGAAGCACAUAUAAAGGUAUUAAAGAGCAUGCAUGAAUCGUAGUCUAGUUAGUUUAAUUUAUGAAUACAAAUGAGGAUUCUACAUGAAAAUUGAAACAAUACCUUCAGCAAUAGCUGCUACAUCGACUGGAUUAUCACUCAUGUCCAGCUCCUUUAAAUUACUGAAACCACCUAAUUUAUCCACAAACAUUGCUAACUCAAGUCAAGGAUGGUGAUUUUGUACGGAAUCAUGAACAGAGAAUAACCUAGUGAAACUAUCAUUCACAUGUAAAGUCCCAUUCAAAAGUUGUUUUGGAGAAUAGACACAUGAGAGUUGGAAUUGUACCACAAACGGGUAAAAUAGAAUUAUCCAGAGUAAACAAUGAUAGCACCCACGCGGACGCCUUAGGAUGGGAAUCUUUUGAAUCAAUAACAUUUCCAUAUGAAAAGAGAAGGGGUUUGCAAUAUAUGACUUAUUUAUUCUUAAUAUGAAGCACGUGUAUAGGUAUUAAAGAGCUUGUCUACAUGACUCGCAGGAUAUUUAGUUUAAUUUACGAAUAAAAAUGAGGUUCUUGCAUGAAAAUUGAAGUAGUACCUUCAACAAUAACCACCGCAUCAACUGCGUUAUGACUUAUGUCAAGCUCCAUCAAAUUACUAAAAUCACCUAAUUUUUCCACAAACAGCGUUACUCAAGUCAAGGAUGGCGAUUUUGUACUAAAUUAUAAGCAGAGAAUAAGUUGGAGAAAUUUACCAUUCACGUGUAAAGUCCCACUCAAAUUAUUGUCAUGGAGGAACAGAUGCCGAAGAGAUGGAAUUGUACUGAGAACGGAUAGAAUAGAAUGACCUAGAGAGUUAUUACUCACAUCAAGCACCUCUAGUUUGCUCAAUCUUGAAGAUAGUAGGUUUGGUUCUGCAAACAAACAACGAAAAGCAGUAAAACCCACCGAAAUCUUUUCAAGUACAUUCGCAAGCAAGUAUUGCCAUUUUGAGGGAAAUAUAUCCUAGAGUCCUGGAUAAAUGCUGACGUGAGUGUAACCAUCUAUAAUGCAGGAACGGAGUAAAACCCCAAACGUGAUUAAUUUUUGAGUUCAUUAGAUAAUGAGUAUCUCUUGUUUUAUAGGAAAUGGAUGAAUGGGGAAUUUAUACCUUCUGGUGCAAUCCACCCUCCUAAAUAGUUGUCGGACAAGGAAAGGCUCUUGAGUUCUUCAAAGGGAAGAAAUAGAGAAGCAUUUAGGUACCAAGUUUUGGAGCCAAAACGGUAAUAUCUCGAACUGGAGAGCAUUAGUUGAGUGACUCGUCCUGUGGUGGGGUUGCACUCAACACCUUCCCAACUGCAACAGUUAAAAUAUGAUCCCCCAACAUCCACCCCAUAUUUCAGGUCCAAUGUGGCAUUGAGCGCUAAGAGUGCAACCCUUUCUUGCUCCCAACACCCACGAGAGCCACAUAAACAUGCGAUACCCAAAACCACCACAAGCACCCACAGUGCUUUCUUUUUCAUGACCACAAAUUCGACUAACCAAACUUUAUAUGUAUCACACUCUGGAGUUAACUUCCUUUUUGUAAGUUAGAGCAAUUUUAUAGGAGUUCAGCGGUGCCUGUGCUUGAGUGUAGAACUUGUGGUCAUGGCCAAAGUCUUGGUCAUCUUUAGUAUGAAUGUAGCUCAGCUCCUUUUGUUGACAAGGUUAAUUAGCGUGCGAGGCGGGAAAUGUACCUUACCCAAGGGCCAGAUUUCAUUGUUGGGGAAUUUUCCGAAAGUCUCUAUUGGCAUAACUUUUUCCACACGUUAAUUCUAAUCUAAGUCUAGUCAACUGUUAUCAUUCAUGUGAUUGAAUUUUCCACACGGUAAUUCUAACCUAAGUCUAGUCAACUGUUAUCAUUCAUGUGACUAAUUCAAUCUCUGUCCAAUGAACAGCAUAGGUAUUGUGAUUUACUUGCUUUCCAAUAGGAACUUAAGAUCGUAUUGAACAGUUAGACUACAAAUAAAUGAUGGUGGCAUGAAAAUUAGAUGUUAAAGUAUUAUUCACAAUGAAAUGGUCUCUUGCUUAGGAAACUAACAUAGGAUGUAGAUAUGGUGACGAUUCACUAAAGUGCUUUUCUCAUUGUUCAGCUUGACUAACUUAGAAUGCUUAUAUUUUCAAGAUACUGAAAAUUACUAAUCUGCAGCAUUACACAUUUCACAGAAGAGGAAAAUCAUAAUCGAUUGCCUUUGGUUUCUCAAAAUGCAUUUAAUUUAACUUGACGAGUGUCCAAUUAACAUUAUUCAAAUUGCUUCAAAUGCAAGGGUGACAGUGGAUUAUUCCUACGAGUCCAUAUGUAUAAGCGAAACUUCACCAAAACGUUCGGAAUUUGGAUGGUUCUAAACAUGGAAGAUCUAUUAAUUUACUUCGCAUCGGAGCUUUCAGCAGCGAAGUGACAUUAACUAGAGGCAUUUCAGAAGUAGACAUGUUGUAAAAUUAACUUGAAAAUUGACAAGAUCUUACUAUUAAAUCAACGCAAAAACAUUGAAGAAAUAAAUGGGGAACAAUAAGUAUACCAAAUAUUUACAUGAUUCGAUCUUAAUAUUAGUACCUAUUUUAUAAGAAGAGCUAGUAAUAAAUAAUUCACUAUAAUUAGAGAAUCAUAAUUAAAAUUACAUAUACGCUUGAGUGUUUCUUACAUUUAGAUUAAGACUAAACUCAAAAGAGUUUAUAAAUAAACAACUUAAUUAGAUGUAAAGCUCACAGUGCAAAUCAUAGCGUGUUUAAGCUCAUAGCAAAACCCUUCGCACAGCUAAUUCAAGAGCAUCCGUACAUUCUUUCUUUUGUUCUACGUGCGGUGGCUCAAUUUCUAAAGGAACCCACUAUUUGGCUUCUCCAGGAAAGGAAACUCACAAAAGCAAAACCUUGCUUUUAGUUUAUUUUCUUUUCUCUAACCCCAUGCUUGACCCCACACGCUUUCUUUUGUACAACCAAAAAGAAAAUCCAAACUAGGCAAUUAAAGUCUACAAAAAAUUUGACCAUAAGAGUUCAUCAUAAUCACUGCUGGGGCCCUUGCAACUAUCCAUAGAAAAUUUCUUCGUCCGUGUUUAAUGUGCCAAUCUCUGUACGUCCCAACCUUCAAAUUGAAAUUGUAUCUUUUUCUUGCCCAAAGUCCAAGUAAUACCAUCUCAAAUCUUUUACGUCCCAAGGUAUGGAUGUAAUCGGUAUAUAUAUAUCCAACCCAAUAAAAGAAACUCUCCAAUAUAUAUGUCAUUCAUAGAAAGAUUCUUUGGAUUUUUUUCUUAUUCAAUCAGGUUAAAUUGCAUAACAGCUCAAAAUCAAGACAUACUUUAACAAUUCUCUACCUUGCCUUGACGUUUGUAAUUAAGUCCACGUUCACUGUUUAUCUUCCAUGAUUUGCACCAAGGAGCUACCGGAAGUCAACAACAGUGUCGCCUAAGGGGUCGUGUGUCCCCGGCGACGACUGCCUUAGGGUCACGCGACCCAUGGCGUGGCCCAAGGCCUCAUCUGAGGUCGUGUGACCGAGGCAACGCCACCAGAUCUGGUUGCCAGCGGUUAAACUCCAUGGCCAAAUCUGACCAUUGACGAUUGUCCUUAAUUUAGACUAAAAAAAAACUAUUUGCAAAUGGAAGUUUUAGCAAACAGUUUUAAGCCAUAGUUUUUUUUCAAUGUUAAAAUUUGUCAAACACCAUAGCAUUUUUUAAAACCCUUUAGUCCAAAAAUAUUUGCAUUUUCCCAAAACCAUUUCCUCAAAGCCAAACCAAACGAGGCUCUACUUUGGGCUUUCAACCUUCCCAAUGUUGACAUUUGACCAAUAGACUUUUGAAAAUGCUUGCGAAAUGCCUAAUAUUUUUCCCAAUGGGCUUUAGGAGCUCAAAAUCCCUUGGGAAAAUUAAACCAAACGAGGCCACAUGUCCUUCUUGUCCCUGUAAGCUUGUGCCCAUCCAUUUUGCUCUCAGGAUUUGCUUUGAGCUUUUGGCAUUUUGGAAAUGCAAGUCUACUUCUAUUGUUCACCCGUUAACUAUUUUUUUUGUUCAACCACUCAUCUUCCCUAGUAGCUAUCAGAGGCUGGCCAACUGCCAGUGGCUAGAUCCGACGGUCAGACAGCCUCGCCUGAGGUUUGACUGCCACAUCUGACCGCCGGCGGUUGGUUGGCGGUGGAGCUUCAUCGAAUUUGAUUUUAGUUUAAUAAGCCAUUUGCAAAUGUAGGGUUUAUCAAACGGUAUUUACACCAAAAUCACUUUUCAAUGCACUUUAAAGUUACAAUUUGCCAAAUACUAAAGCAUUUCGGAAAACUUCUUUAACCCAAAUGUAUUUGCAUUUUUUCAAAGUCAUUUUUUCAAAGCUAAACCAAAUGGGCCAUAUGUUUCUUUUUGUCAGAUUAUUGCAUAUGAGUUGCAUUCAUUGUGCAUUGGUUGGAUUCGCUGCCGUCGAGAUCCUACGUGCUGCUAAUGGUCCCUAUUUUGUAAUUUUCUGAUGCUUUUGUUAUUAUCUUUUUCUGGUGUAUGUUUUGUUGUUAAUGGCUUGGGCUCGUACGCAUGCUAUGCAAUUUAAAUUUUGGUUUUUGAUGGCUUUUGAGCUAUAGCACAUUGACCAUACGAAGGAUAAGAUCCUCAGGAAAUGUACAAGUAAAAGCCUCCAUCUUUGCCAAUUUCAGUGGGCAUGAUUAGGGACAACAAUAUUUGGACAAAAAUAUUUUCAUAAACAUGUAUAUGGGGAUAAAAUAAUAAUUUAAAAGAACAUAAUCACGAUAGUUAAUUCAAAUCUUAAGUAACAGACUUUGGACUCAACAUUCUUUGUUUUAAAUAUCCAGAAAGAAAUAAAUAAAAAUUAAGUAAUCUAAGCCAAUCCAGUUCGUUUGUUCCGUUAUGUGGAAUAAGAAAUUGCCUAGAAUCGGUCGGUUCUAUCUGGUUUUUGGAUUGGACAAAGACCAAUGCACACCCCUAGUUCAGGAUGCAUCACAAAAGAGUAGAGUUUAAAAAGUUUCUUUGGAAGGCUGUCAUGACAAUUAGGGUGUCUGAUUUUGACUUAGGGUGUGUGAUUUUGACUUGAGAAUGAAAGAGUUAAAGGCAGUCGAUUAGAAAGUUUAUGAUUGAUUCUCCCACAGGCCUUCGGUGUAAUGGAGCAUAUUCUACUCUAAGAUGAGCUCAAAAUGUGACAUUUCCCUGAACAAUUAGUGCGAAAGCUUUAGGAUAUUAUAAUAUUGCAACAGACACAAACUCAUUUACUAUCUUCAGGACAUUGUAAUCAACUGAGCUGUGAUCAUCUUACGAAUUGAUAAGAUGUAAUAAUAUUAGGCACCUAAUAAUAUGAACCGAGCAGAAAAAUCAUUAAAAAAAAUUGAUUUAAGGGAUAAACCUAAACAAUCAGCAAAUCAUCAUUAUUCUCAUAAUAGAAAUUAUUGGGAUACUCAUGGAUCUCCGGAAAUGCACCGGUAAAUAUCGACAUCAGACUAAAAUUCUUAAUGCAUAUACUUGCUACUCCAAAUAAGAUUUGAAGAAAACUCUUUUCUACUAUAAAAGGCCAAUUCUUAGGAGUGUGUAUCAAGCUCCUUCGCCAAGUAGGGAGAAGGUCGGUCGAAUCACUGGGCCAAGAACGCGAGUGAAGAUCAAAGAGAAUCGCGAAAUUAGAGAAUCGAGGCCUUCGAUUACACGUAAGUGUCUGGCUGUCGCAAUGCCGCUCUGGAGGUAGACCUUGCUCGAGCAUCGUCGUGUUCUUUGGAAAGAAAUGAAGAAUGGGAAAGAAAGGAAAUCUGGGAAAAGCUCUAGGAAUAGAAAUGCUCCGCGAACAGGGGAGAGAGAAGGAAGAAGCAAUUUGGGGUUUUUUAUUUUUAGGGUUUGUAAUUUUCACCCAUUUUUUUGGGACAAAAAUGCUCCUAUUCCGAUUGUUAAUAAUAUCACAUGCUUGCCAGUCAAAUUUAGGCUCUUAUUUGAAACUAUUUUAGCUCAUUUAUGCCAUUAUUUGAAAAAAUAUCCACUCUAACUCUUUUUUGGAAAAAAUAAUCCCAUUUUAGGCCCUUAUUGGGAAUUCUACAUUUAUUAUAGUAGAGUGUUUCACAAAUUUUCUUUCGUUAUUUCAAUUUGUUAAAGGGAAAUUGGCCAUCGGAGAAACAUUUUUGUAGCUCCCCCUAUCAUUCAUGUCUAUUCUAUUCAAACGAGGCGUUCACUAACCCUUGCAACAAAUGCUUUAAUACCGAUGAUUUUGCAAAAUACCAAAUCGCGUUAUGUCUUCUUCUAGCAAGUGAAGGAAAUGUGUCUUUUACUAACCCCAUCAUCGUACAAACAAUCUAAAUUUUCUUGGCANNNNNNNNNNNNNNNNNNNNNNNNNNNNNNNNNNNNNNNNNNNNNNNNNNNNNNNNNNNNNNNNNNNNNNNNNNNNNNNNNNNNNNNNNNNNNNNNNNNNAAAUUGGUUGCAAGAAAAAUCUAGUCCUACCAUGUUAAGGAGUGCGUAGCCUUUAUAAGCAUCAAAUCUUCUUUUUACUGUGAACCCAACAAUAUGUGGAAUUUGCCAUGCUUCAUCUCCCAUAAAUUUAUAGUGGUAGAACUCCUUAUUAAAGGACCAGUGGCUUCUAAUUGUCCUCACAUUAGACAAAGGUGACAAUUUGUAACGUCUCUCUUCGAAACGCGGUAUUAAAUCUACCUUAUCAGGAUAUCCUGUAGAGGAGAAAUUUAUGGGUCCCAAGCAAAUAGGUAAUGGACCAAACAGAUUGUUUUCAGAAAGAUCGAUUAUACUUAAGCUUUUUAAUCUGCACAAUUGCUUGGGAAAUGUUCCAUAGAAGCUAUUACCUCUCAAUAAAAGAAUGCUUAAUUGAGAGAGGUUACCUAGCCAAUAGGGUAUGCUUCCCAAGAACUCAUUUUCACUCAAAUCCAAGGUCACCAAAUUGGAGCUGUUAGGGAGCAGAUGCAUGAUUGAACCAUUCAAUUUGUUUCCAUUCAGAUGGAUAUGUCUCAACUACGGUGCUACGAAAGAUGAUGCUAAUGAACCAGAGAGAUUAUUGUCAGACAAAGCCAAAUACUCGAGGUCAGGAAGAUUAAAGAGUCCUUGAUGGAUGAGGCCAUUUAGCUUAUUUUUGGACAAGUCAAGGAGCCUAAGCCUUGACAUGUUUGCAAUCACUCUGGGAAGCUUACCAAUGAAAAAGUUGUUGCUAACGUCCAAUUGGAACGGAUAUACGAGUGAUGAAAGAAAAGAGAGAUCUCCAGUGAACAUGUUGUUCUCUAAGUGUAGGCAUAACCAAUUUAGGUUCUUGGUGUCAUCGGAAAACACAAUUUCUCCUUGCAAGUUGUUAUAUGCUACGUUGAGUUUAUACAAUGAUGAGUUGCUAUCUAGUAACUGGAUAGGUAGUCUCCCAGAGAAAUUGUUGUGGGAAAGGUCUAAGGACUUUAGGGAUUUUAUACUACCCAGUUUAGAUGGAAUAUUCCCUUCCAAUCUGUUGGCUGAUAGAUUAAGGUGGGACAGAUUUGGGACAUUUAAACAAAAUUUGGUCGUGAGCUCUCCUCUCAUGCCGUUGUUGGACAUGUCCAUCACCGAAAGAUUGCGAAGGGUCAUUAGUGGAACCUCAAGUGUCACAAAUAAGUUAUUUGCCAUAAGAAGGUUUUCCAACUUAGUGUUGUUUUCCAACAACCAAGCUGGAAAGGGACCCGCAAUGUCAUUUGAGGAGAGAUCAAUGGUUCUCAAGUCAUAUUGAUGAUUGAGAAAGCCAAGAGAAGUUACUUUGAAUCCUUUCGACAGACUAUUUGACAUACUAAAAUCCUUCAAUUGGAACCUCGGGAUCGAAGACGCAACUUUGGAAUCAGUUGUUAGUUUGAUGUCAUCAAGCAAGAGGACCUUAAGUCUUGAAUAGUUGGCAAGUGNNNNNNNNNNNNNNNNNNNNNNNNNNNNNNNNNNNNNNNNNNNNNNNNNNNNNNNNNNNNNNNNNNNNNNNNNNNNNNNNNNNNNNNNNNNNNNNNNNNNNNNNNNNNNNNNNNNNNNNNNNNNNNNNNNNNNNNNNNNNNNNNNNNNNNNNNNNNNNNNNNNNNNNNNNNNNNNNNNNNNNNNNNNNNNNNNNNNNNNNNNNNNNNNNNNNNNNNNNNNNNNNNNNNNNNNNNNNNNNNNNNNNNNNNNNNNNAAUGGUAGACACACAAGCCUGUUAUUGAUAUCACAAGUCAAUUUAAUUACAAUGGUAGACAUCGGAACGUAUAACAAGGGUAUAACAAGGACAUACACGCACAUGAAGGAUUCAUUUUAUGUCCCAAUUUUACUCUGAGAGGUCAGGACUUACUCUGACUUGAUAGUUUGCCAUUAAGACUGGUGCUGUAUGAGGACAACAACCUAAGAGAUGUCAAAGGACCAAGGCUGGAAAGGAUGCCCAUGGUGGUGUUCAACGAAGAAUAAUAGAUUAUUGAACAUCAGAUUUCCUAGCAUAUACAUAAUCAAGAAAUGACAUAGAAAUAUCAUGAGUGAAUGGAAUAUUUUAAUAAAAACUUAGGCUCUGUUUGUUUCGCGGAAAAUGUGACGUUUCUGGAAAAUGUUUUCCAAUGAGUAAUUUUUUUUAGAAAAAUGACAAUAUUUUCCAAUUGUAGGUUGAAAUCUGAAAAUUAACUAGAAAAUAUUUUCCAUCGUUUGGUAUGGAAAAUCUAAUUUGAUUUUCAUAUGUGUACUCCUUCCAAUAAUAUUUUAUUUUUAUUCUAAAAAAGAAUUUUUAAUUAUUAUUUUUCCUUUUUUCUUUUUUCCUUCUUGUUCGGUUGAUCACCAAACACAGGUGAUGUCAAGAUUGCUCGAGACAAACGAGCUUGAGCCUUGUUAGAUUGGCGAAGCCUUGGCCUUUGGCAAGCUUGUCCUUCGCCUGUGAUCAGUCGCUGGUAGUCGUCAUAGUUGGCGAUCGAAUGAGGAAGAAGGAAAAAUAAUAAGAAGGAAAAAAUAAAGAAAGAAAGAAAUUAAAUAUUUGAUUUAUUAAAAAUGAAAACAAGAAAAAAAAAUAAUUAAAAAGAGUGCAUGGAGGAAAAUAGGUUUAGGUGAAAGGAAGAGAAUGGAAAAAUGAUUUCCUCAUUUUCCCCACUUUUGAAAGUGCGUUUUCCAUUGUAGGAAAAUAUUUUCCUUCACUCAAUUAUUUUCCGUAACCUAAAUGCUGGAAAAUCUGAAAAACAUUUUCUUAAAAAUUGUUUUCCGCAAAACGAAUGGAGCGUUAUCAUGAGCAUACAUUUAUUAAUGGGUUUGACUAACCUUGAGUAGUAAUAAUUCCUUCUAUUGUAUUAUACUGGAGAGAAAGGAUCUUGAGGGAUGACAGUGCCCCUAAUGCUCGCACGACGGUCCCAACAUCCUUCAAGUGGACACCAUCCAGGUAGAGGUUCUCUAAGUGGCUCAAGUUUUUGAUGCCUACCAAUAAAAUUCCAAGAAAAUAACUUGCCUGGCAAUAAAGUUGUGAAAGCACCCACGCGGAUGCUUUGCGAUAGGAAUCUUUUGAAUCGGGCAACAUUUCUAUAUGGAAAGAGAAGGGGUCCCAAUUUAUGACUUCUAUAUUCUCAAUAUGAUGCACAUGUAAAGCUACAAGAGAUACUGCAUGAAAACUAAAACAAUACCUUCAACAAUUGCCGCUAUAAUGACUGCAUUACAACUUAUGUCUAGCUCCUUUAAAUUAUUGAAACAGCCUAAUUUAUCCAUGAACCUUGCUAACUCAAGUCAAGCAUGGUGAUUUUGUCCCGAAUUAUGAACAGAGAAUAAGUUGGAGAAACUAUCAUUCACAUUUAAAGUCUCAUUCAAAUGUUGUUUUGGAGAAUAGACACAUGAGAGUCAUAAUUGUACCGCAAAUAGGUAGAAUAGAAUUAUCCAAAGAAAAUAAUGAAAUCACCCACACGGAUGUUUGGGAAUAGGAAUCUUUUGAAUUAGCAACAUUUCUAUAUGGAAAGAGAAGAGAUGACUUCUAUAGUCUUAAUAUGAAUCACAUGUAAAGGUAAUAAAGAGCAUGCAUGAAUCGUAGUCUAGUUAGUUUAAUUUAUGAAUACAAACGAGGAUUCUACAUGAAAAUUGAAACAAUACCUUCAGUAAUAGCUGCUAUAUCAACUGGAUUAUCACUUAUGUCCAGCUCCUUUAAAUUACUGAAACCACCUAAUUUAUCCACAAGCAUUGCUAACUCAAGUCAAGGAUGGUGAUUUUGUAUGGAAUUAUGAAUAGAGAAUAAGCUGGAGAAACUAUCAUUCACAUGUGAAGUCCCAUUCAAAUGUUGUUUUGAAGCAUAGACACCUGAGAGUCGGAAUUGUAUUGUGAAUGUGUAAAAUAGAAUUAUCUAGAGUAAAUAAUGAAGCACCCACACAUAUACCUUGGGAUAGGAAUAUUUUGAAUUAGUAACAUUUCUAUAUGGAAAGAGAAAGGGUUUGCAAUAUAUGACUUCUUUAUUCUUAAUAUGAAGCACACAUAUAGGUAUUAAAGAGCCCGCCUACAUGACUGACAAGCUAGUUAGUUUAAUUUACGAAUAAAAAUGAGGUUCCUACAUGAAAACUAAAAUAGUACCUUUAGCAAUAGCCACUACAUCAACUGCGUUAUCACUUAUGUCCAGCUCCAUUAAAUUGCUGAAACCACCUAAUUUUUCCACAAACAAUGUUAACUCAUGUCAAGGAUGGCGACUUUGUACUGAAUUAUAAGCAGAGAAUAAGUCGGAGAAAUUUACCAUUCACAUGUAAAGUCCCGCUCAAAUUAUUGUAUAUGAGGAAUAGAUGCCGGAGAGAUGGAAUUGUACUAAGAAUGGGUAGAAUAGAAUGAUCCAGAAAGUUAUCGCUCAAGUCAAGCACCUCUAGUUUGCUUAGCCUUGAAGAUAGCAAGUUUGGUUCUACAAACAAACAAUAAAAAGCAGUAAAAGCUGCAGAAAUCUAUUCAAGAACACGUGCAACAAAUAGAUAUUGCCAUUUCAAGGGGAAAUAUGUCAUAGACUUGUAAAUAAAUGAUGACGUGGACAUAAUCAUCUAUGAUGCGGGAAGUGAGUAAGAACCUAAACGUGAUUAACUUAUGAGUUCAUUAGAUAAUGAGAAUCUCUUUUUUUUUAUAGGAAAUGGACAAACGGUGAAUUUAUACCUUCUGGUGCAAUCCACCCUCCUAAUAGUUGGAGGACAAGUUAAGGCUCUUGAGUUCUUCAAAGGGAAUAAGUAGAGAAGCGUUUAGACACCAAAUUUUGGAGCCGAAACGGUCAUAUCUCGAAGAGGAAAGCAUUAGCUAAGUGACUCGUCCUGUGGUGGGGUUGCACUCAACACCUUGCCAGCUACAACAAUUGAAAUAUGAUCCCCCGGCGUCCACCCCAUAUGUCAAGUUCAAUGUGGCAUUGAGCGCUAAGAGGGCAACCCUUUCUUGCUCCCGACACCCAUAAGAGCCACAUAAACAUGCAAUACCCCAAACCAUCACAAACACCCACAGUGCUUCCUUUUUCAUGACUGCAUAUUCGAGUGACCAAACUUUAUAUGAAUCGCACUUUGGAGUUAACAUCCUUUUUGCAAGUUAGAGAAAUUUUAUAGGAGUUCAACGACGCUUGUGCUUGAGUGUGAAACUUGUGGUCAUGGCCAAAGUCUUGGUCAUAAUUUUUCCACGCGCUUUCUUUUGUACAACCAAUAAGAAAAUCCCAAGUAGGCGAUUAAAGUCCACCGAAAAUUUGACUGCAAGAGUUCAUUGUAUUUGCUAUUGGGGCCCUUGGCAGUUGGUAUCAAUUCCAAUUGGAGUUCAUCGAGUUAGGUUCACUUGGAAAAUGCCUUCCAUUAAUGCGAGAUCAAUGCAUAUGAGCCAUUAGAUCUUGUGCAUCUCACAUUGUCUCAUAAAAUUCACCUAUGAAAAUACAUCAGGCUCACAUAAUCGUAGCUCUCCGGGAUUGUUGUAAUUGAUUGGAGCGCUUAGCGAUUUCUAGCUCGAGAAGUCGGGAAUCACCCAUUGAUCCCACUAUUUUCAUGCAAACUGGCCUUCUGCACCGAUCAACUUUUUUGUAUUUAAUCAGUCUAUAGCACUUGCGAGGCAUUUCGAAAAACUUCCAGAUAACCCAGUCUUCACGGUCCGAGCCAUCAAGUAUAAAACAAAAGGCGUUAGUGCGGGAUUUCUGCCCACUCCAAAAACAAUUGUUCUGAGAGUGUACGGGUCAAAUGUGGUGAACUCGUGAGUGUCUACCCGGAAUUCCAUUACGUGCCUAACCCCUCUUCCCGAAAGAAAACAAUUAAGACGAAAGUGGAAGACCCCCCGCCCCUUGCUUGGGUGGUGGGGCCCCCCACGAUUGGAAAAAGAAAAAGUCUCGCAAGUGCGAGGGAGGGGGAGAAGAAGGGGUAGGGUUGCUGUGAGUUUGACGCGUGUAUAGUCGCGCGUGGGGGCCCCACCCGGGUGGGGUGAUGGUCCCGCCUCGCCAGCAAAAAGUUCAAAUCCCUUAUUUAUUGCGCGACUUCUGUAGAGAGGGAGGACCAUGGCGGAGGAGGAGGCGCGACGAGAUGGAAACUGGGGUUCCGAUUUGGAUUUUAGCAAUUUUCAAAUUCUAGAAAAGCUCGCUCUCCUUAGUUUCUUUAUCAAUUUUACCAUCAUCUGUCAAGAGAAGAAUCACACUUUCAUCGCCCGUCGAUGGCAUGUAUGGACUCUUCUUCUCUACAACAAUGUUGCCGUAAAAUAAUGGCGUGUUUAGUUACGAUUCUAUUCUCAAAAACAGAUUUCGAUCAGACAUGAUUUUUUUUUAUUCUAUUCUCGGGAAUAAUUUCUAAACAUUUUACCAUCUCAUUGGUGGCCGCAAUGGUUUAGGCUCUCUUCCCCUCACGAAUGAGAGGAGUUUGAAUCCCCCCACGGUUGCUUGGGGUCUUAAGUGUGAUGUCAGGAUGGUGGGUCCUCCGCUAGCAUCAGAAUUUACCCGUCGGCUGCCGACUAUACGGGGUUCCUUGGGUAUUAAAAAAAAAUUAUAAACAUUUUAAACCGUUUAGUAACUAUUCAAAAUUUCUUAUUCUGGAAUAGAAUUGUAUUUGGUACCGUGCUCAUUGAUUCUGUUCCAAAUCAAUUUCUUUUAAUUUUUAAAUAAUUUUUAUACUUUUUUCCUUUUUUUCUUUUCUUUUUUUCCAUUUUUUCAUUUUUUUUUUCUUUUUUCUCCUAUUCUUCUUCCUCUUCUUCCGGCCGGUGACCUCACCGGAGCAUCGCUGGCCCUCGGCGAGGCCAGCCCUCGUCGGAUGGUGGCAACGGCGGCAGACGGCGGCGGCAAGCAACGGCCGACAGUGGCGGACGACAACAUUAGGGGAGAGAAGGAUUCCACUUUUUUUUUAUUCUUUUUCUUUGUUCCUGAAACAAGAAUCAAGUUUUUUUUUUUUUUUAAAUUCUUGAUUCUACUCUAAAUUUGCUCCUAGGAACAAACUUGUUCCCGGGAACAAAAAUUUUAUCAAAUGCAAUUAUGAUCCUAGACUAAUUCGGAGAACAAAAAAUCAGAAUUAGACACUGUUUGGAUGGUUACCAAACACUGCUUAAGCAGCCGACCCUCGGAGGAUUCUGAUUGACCAACUGUCAGAUUAACUAACAAAUCUCAACCGAUGGAUGACGACGAUACACGAAAUUUGUACCUUAGAAAUUUCUGUAGCGAUACAAUUUUACAAGUAUUGGACGAAUGUCAAGUUGCCAACCUGCAUGAGAUUGUAUUUUUGACUCAUUUGGACCAACUUGAUUAAACGGGACAUAGACUCAAUAGCUACCGUCAUCAGCCGACAUUUCAUAAUCGGAUCUCACAAGUUCUACGCACCUUUCCGCAUGUAGCACUUGAAUUUUGUUUGACCAAUCUCGAUGUCAAGAGAAAAAUCUACUUGGACAUCGCAUGAUUGAAUUGAUACGUGUAUGUAAGCUAGCUAAGAAUCUAAGAUGCCUUCAAUUCAGCACCCGCUCUACUUGACAAUUACCAGUUGUGAUGCUGAAACAGCACUCAUAUGACAGCGUCAAGCGCUAUCACUCACAGUAUCCACACGUCGAAUGGAAGGAUCAAUUUAUAUCUAACUAGACCAUAUUGACUUCUUUUGUGAUGAUCUAUAACUGCAUCUCAAGUAAGACCAACUCACAAUUGCAGAAUUUUCAUGCUAAAUAACGGUAAACGUGCAAAUCGUACACAUUUGCUUCAUUAACGUAACACAAGACUCAGCAUUUCCACAAAUUACUGCUUUGACAAAUUACCGCUUUGACGCUUCCCGCGGAGAUGGUAAAACAGGGCCAGGUUGUCCAUAUUGCUAAUCCAUCUUUCCAGCAGGAUACAUUUUGAAAAGGUUAUAGCUAGGCAUCGAUCAAGCCUUCUUGGCUAUACAAUAAAGUAAUCUCCUGACCACUUAAACAGAAAGAAAUCCUCCAAUAACUUAUAACAAAGGGUGCAUGAGCCAAUGUCACUAGCUUCUAUGUUCACAUUACAUAAUACUGGUGUAACAACUUCCAUUGAAGUUAAGACAGAAUUAGAAUAAUUGUCACUAGGAUAUUCACAUUCAUAAUCUUGACUGCAAAGUAGAAUAACUUACUAAGUAGCUGCUUGCUGAGGUUGGGGACCGAUAUAUCCUAACCAGUGUGGCACCCAAUCCUCGAGAUUUCGGGAGCCUGACAGCAGCCAAGGGGUUGACUAUGCCCUGAGAAUCCUUUCCCAAACCCAUACCUUCAACAAAUCCCAUCUUUGCCAUCACUCUGGAUC